rnacentral:lncRNA from 1 species
CGUCAUCAUUGUCAAUGUCCAUAAAGUUUUAGGAAGUUGAUCUUAGGAAAUAGAUAAGAUCAUUAAGGGUCUUGUCAUAGUGUAUUUCAUAGGUGUCCUAAAGGAACUCACUAUGUGACUUAGAAAGUGAUUGAGCCACCAACUUUCUCAAGACUUUGACACCCAACUCUCCCGGCUUGUCAAUAUGUGACUACAUCUCCAAGAUGUGACCACACAUAGACCUUUACUUGCCAAUAGGGCUUAAGUGACCUUAAACUUUUCAAGAACUUGUGGGUUAGGGAGAAUAAUUGGAGGAGGUGAAAGAAGUAUGAUUUCCAUGGGACAUCAUCUUCAUUUAGGAAAGCUUGUUUCAAGAGAUUUGGGAAGAUCAUAAAUGUCUAAACCAGACAUCUUUGGGGAGAUAUUCAAGAUAGUUGAUCUUAAGUCCUUAAUAUGACACCCAAUAUGAAAUAUUAAGGCUAGGACCCAACAAACUAUUGUAUAACUUAGAAGAGGGAUGCCGUAAUCCAAGCUAUAAAAUAGUUGAAGGUACGUGAAUGACGAUUCUCCAAUUUCCUCCGAGAUAAACAAAAUGUAUCAUUAGGUUUUAAUUGGAUUUGAAACUCCUAGAUCUUUUUGAGAUUCAUUGAACUUUUCAAUGGCAUGUUUGAAUAUCGAGUGUGCCCUUCAGGUUUUGUGACUGGGAUGUCGAGGAUCACAAAACAAGGUGUGAAUAACCAUGCAAAUAUACUUGGUACCCUUAAGUGUUUACCCCUCAAUCGAUGUGCCGGUUAACCACACACGCUCCAUCGAUACUAUGAUAAACAUUAAGUUACCCUUUGCCUACCUUGUUAAAUACGAGUUAGUGUGCCGGUUAACCACACACGCUCCACUAACCGACUUAAACAAAGUGCAAAGUGUAAUUUCAUGGAUUAGCACCUUAUUCACAUUUUCCUAAGUAACUAAGAUUGGGUAUUUAUAAAUGGUUUAGUUACUUAGUAUUUAUCAUUAAUACUUUUAAUGAAGGGAGAAUUCAUUCUAGUCCUUUUCCUAACCGUUCGGCUAACGACCCUCCACCGGUCAAGGAAUCGGUGGGUGAGAGUGGACACCCAUGAAACUGUCAUUUUAUAGGCAGUAACCUUAUACCUCCAUAUAAACCGGCUUCGUGAAUGAGACCUACUAACAAUAAGACAGACUUGCUCUUAUAAAUAUAUAAAUAUUAUUAACUUAUAAUCUUAUAAAGUAUAAGGGUUGAAUUUUAACUCUUUAAAAUUCUAAGGGCUUAACUUGGAAUUAAAGUAUUCAUAAGAGAAAACUUUUUCAAAUUCCAAAAGUUGAGGGCAAGUUUUGAAAGUAUUCAAAACUAAUUAAUUUCAUAACUUAUGAGUUUAAAGUAGUUUUAAUUAAAACUCUUCAAGUUCCAUAACUUGCGGACAUGUUAUGGAAGACUUUAAACUAAUUUAAAAAAAUAACAUUUUUUUUAUAUUGUAACUUAUGGAACUAAUUAAGGUUACACUUUUUUUAUUUAUUAUUUAAUGAAGAGACUCUUGAACCUCCAUAACUUGAGGACAAGUUAUGGAGUCAUAAAACCAUUUAAUUAGAACUAGACUCUUCAUUUUGUAACCUUUGCCAACUUUUAUGAGUUUUAUGAUUCUUAAAUGUGACUUUUCAUAUAACUUGAGGACAAGUUACAAAAACACACUUUGGAAUCAACUCUUAGAUUAAAAUGGAUUGAAAUCAACUAUUUCACACAACUUUUCUAUUAAUCUAAGAACAAGAUAAUUCAAAUCAUCAAUCUUCAAGAAAUUAGCAUGAACAUAAAAACCAAUACAAAUCUUGAAAUUAUGACAAUUAUCUUAGAAAUUGGAUUAGCAUGAACAUUACCACAUCAAAAACAAGUUUAUAAGUCCAAAAACAUCUUAGGGUAAUGUUCCUAGUCCAAUUCCAGCCAAAACAAUCGAAUAUAUGUUGUCAGGGGGUCCAACUCGUCGAGUGCACGAACCAACUCGGCGAGUUGGAUGCAUUUUGCCUUGGACUCGGCGAGUCUGCUGUGCAGACAGCAUCAAAACUCGAUUUUUUCAGCUACUUUUGCAAGUAUAACAAGAAAACAAGCCUAGGCUCUGAUACCACUGUUGGGUUUUGAGCAUUCUAACACUCCUAAGUGUACAUGCAACCCUAAAUACCUUGGAUCUAUGUUUUCUCUAUUAUACAUGCAAAUAUGAACAUCCAAGGUAUUAUCCUAAUCUAGCAUACAAAAUAAUGAAUAUAACAAGAUAGAAUACAUACCUCUUUGAUGUAGAAUGUCUUCAUGAAGCUUGAGUGCCUAGUGCCUCAAGUGUGACACCUCAAAUGGUUCACACAACACCAAAUACACUUGGAAUAACUUGAGAGAAACUUGAACACUCCUAAAAUCGGCUAGCCCUUUCUUAUUAUUCAUAGUGGCCGAUUUUUCCCAAAGAAUAUGAUCUUAUAUAGUUGUUACAAUUAGGGUAAACCCUAAUUGUCAUGGCCUUCCAUUUCCUUGGAUCCAUGGGUUCAAAUACACCAUGGAGCAUCCAUGGACCAUCCUAUGGGUUUUAGCCCAACUUGAUUAUCCAUGGAGCAUUAGCCCACUAUACAAGUAUGGAUGAUUUACACAAUCAACCAUAUAUUUAAUUAGUCUUCUUUUGAUCACUUAAUUAAUUCUAGAUUAAUUCUUGAUCAAUACUAAUUAAAUAAUCCUAUUAAUAUAUUAGAACUUAUAAUAUAUUAAUCAACCUUAAGUGUUAUUUCUCUCAUUAUAGUCUAUCCAAGUGCAUGGUGUCAUGCAACCCAAAUGGACCAUGCCGGGUCGGGUCAAGUCUUACCAAUUAUAGUUAUGGACUCAGACAUUAAUCCAAUAAAUUUAAGUUGCGAAUCAGAGUACAUAGCAGCAAGCGAGGCGGUGAAGGAGGCAACAUGGCUGAAGAACUUCAUCGGAGACCUUGGAAUUGUGCCAGCUAUAAAGGAACCUAUGGAAAUUUUCUGUGAUAGCGAGAGUGCAGUUGCCUUAGCCAAGGAACCAAGGGAUCAUUGCAGAUCUAGGAACAUCGACUAAAAAUAUCACUUCAUAAGACAUCGAAUAGAAGAAGGACUCCUCAUGGCAAAGAGGGUAUCGUCUGAGGAGAACCCUGCAGAUCCCCUCACGAAGGGACCGAGUAGGGUUAAGCAUCUACAACAUAUUAGGCGCAUCAGGCUGAAGGUCGAUAUUAGUUUUAAUGAUCAGAUAGCUAUUUCGAAACUUGCAAUAGUUGAAAUGCAAUUGACGUUUGAUGAUAAAUAAAAGGUGCUUUUUAUUUAUAAGUAAAUUUACUAUCUUGUGUCAAUCAUUUACUAUUGUUUCACUUUGCAUGUUUUGACUUCCAGAAUAAUUAUAUUAUUCAAACUAUCCAAAGUCGAUCAUACAUUGGAAGUAGGUAUUGAGGCAAGACUAUCAUGAAUUUGGCUGGUAAAUUGUCUUAAUUGUAUUAGACACAUCAAAGUUUGCUACAACAUUCAUGAGUGCUCAUAAGGUCUGAGUAUUUGAUUAAACCCACGCUCACUUGUAUCACUUCAUGGAAUUUAUCUCGAGUGAUUGUGAGAUGAUAUUAUCAUACAACUCUUCAAACCAAGAGAUAUGAUUUGUUGACUAUGAUUUGGUUGUGUAUUGAUAGUACGAAACCGCUUCAAUAAGUUGAUGCUAUAAAACGUGUUAUUAUGCACAAUUUGAUGAGUAGUUAUUACAAGCAUAUGAGUCGAAGUUUGUCUAUUCCUUAUAGUCCUUGGAGGAUUAAAAGCGAUAUCUUAAGCCCCUCGAUGAUUUUGUUUUGACCUAUGUGUUGGACCCAUUCAGUUCUAAAUUGAUGUGUUCGAUUAAGUUCUAUGUCAAUCAAAUCGGAAAUCGGGAAAGAAAUUGUUGGACAAUAAGUAUGACGUUGUUCCAUGUAUUUUUCCGGCUGAUAUCUUAAGAACAGAUGAUUAUAUGUUCACUUAUCUAAAAUGGAGUGUCAUAGUUCGACAGAGGCUUUUAAGAGUUAUGAUUGCUAGUCGGUGUCUUAAGUCAUACUUGCAGUUAUAGUUAUUAGACUUAUCCAAGUGGGAGACUGUUGGAUUUAGUGUCUAAGCCCAUAACUAUAAUUGAUAUGUACUUGACCCAAGAGUAGCAUGGUCCAUUUGGGUUGCACGACACCGGAACAAUUAGUAAGGAUGGACUUUUGAGAAGAGGAUAUUCAUGAUCUAUUAAUAUAUUAUAAACUCUAAUAUAUUAAUGUGAAAUCAUAUUAUUUAAUUAAUAUUGAUCAAGAAUUAAUUUGGAAAUAAUUUUGUGAAAAAAAGAGACUAAUUAAAUAUAAGGGUUUGAUUCGGUAAAUCAUUCAUUCUUAUGGCGUAGGUCAAUGAUCCAUGAUUCCUUAGGUUGGGCUAAACCCAUGGAUGAUCCUUGGAGGUUUAUACCCAUGGAGCCUAAGGAAUACGGAAGGUCAUGCACAUUAGGGUUUACAUGGUGUAACCCUAGUUUUGCCACGCUAUAUAAGAAACCCAUUGGCUCCUAAAAUCGGCACCCUAGUGUUCUUGGAAGAGCUAUAGCCGAUUUUUUUAGUGCAAGUAUUCUCUCUCAAGUCCUCCAUUGUUGGCGGUGUUGUGAGAAGCAUUUGAGGCAUCACAUUUUUGGUGCUAGGCUCUUAAAGGUCCAAGGAAUCACGCUACAAGAAAAGGUAUGUCUUCUAACUAGAUUUUUGUUAUACAAGUACCCAUGUUUGUAUGCUAGUUAGGGAAAUGCUUUGGAAAAUCAAAUUGCAUAUAAAAUUAGAGAAAACAUAGAUCCAAAGCAUUUAGGGUUGUAUGUGCACCUUAAGGUUGUUAGGAUGCUCAAAAAACUUCAAACUUCACCCUCCAUAUGAGAAUAUUGAGUUUAAUGGCAACCUAAUUAUUCCAUCUAGUAUCUUGUCCUCCCGACAGAACCAAAUCGCUAUUAAAUAAUUAGGUCAAUGUUGAUUGCAAGGCUAGGAAAAGCGUAGCAUAACUGAAUUCAUUUUUAUUACUGAUUUCAUUUAGUUUAUUCCACUACAGUUUUUGUCUUUAGUUAAUAAUCAAAAUCCCUUUUUCAUAUUUUUUUGUUUUAAUAACUAGUAUGUGCCUUAUGCAAAGAGGCAUUGACCAUUAGAUUGUGUCCCUGAAGAUUCGACCAUGCUUCCUUGUGCUACCCAUUAGUGCAACUAAUCAGUGAUAUUUUAUUUUUUGAAUCGUGCACGACAACAAUUUAACAUGAACCUAUUGGGUUCUUUUGGCUAUCUGAGACGUACCUGGGAAUUCAGUCAAUUUAUAAAUUUUAUCAGAUUCUAGGGAGGAAAGAAGAAUGUUUCCUUGAGAAGCGAGAAACUCAUUUUCUUAUGGGUUGGUUCUCUCGCACUUGGGUUGGACCCAUUAUCUUUCGCCACUUAUAAUUGAUCAAAGCCCAAGCUGGCUUUGUCUAUGCAAUAUGUAGCCUCUUUUGACUUUGAAGAAACUCAUGUUUUUCAUAUCCAAUGACCUUCGACAUUCCCGUUGUAGUACUACUACUUGUACCUCAAUGUAAGUGAUUUUCACAUGGCACUACCAAAGCAUGAUAAGAUCGUGACAAGCAUAAUGUUGUCUUUGAAUGUACAAACGCUCACAUAUAAGUAUAUGACCAAAUGGGUUAUGGGGAUAUUACUAUCUUAAUACUAGUUACCAUAAAGUCAACAUUCCAUUUUUAUUAUAAAAUCGUUUUUAUACAUUUAUUACAUAGUAUUUUAGUUAGAGUCUAACAACACUUGUUAAUUCCUUCAAUGUGAUCAAAUUUAUGUUGGAGCUUUUCCUCAAUCAGAAGAACAACCAACUAUGACCUUCAACUCUUCGCUCGCUUACUUCGUUGCGAGUUGAAAGGCUCACCCUUUGGACCUUGGGGAUGUAGCUCUAUCAUGUUUUCCAUCAGUUAUCCUUACUGUUGUAGAUCCUGGAGCUUGUAUUUCACCUAUUGGACUAAGAAGAGGACAAAUGGACUUGAUGUGACUCAUCUGGUUGUAGUGGGAAUUCAUACGUACUUCUUCUGCUUCCUACUUACAGUCUCAGUUGUAAUGUUCUUCUAUGCCGAACUUGAAGCAUAUCAACACACGACAAGCUCCUUCGUGGGACUUCCCACACUUGCUACGUCGUGGACCCUUUCUCCUCCAGACCUUGAUUCAUCAGACAUGAACUUCUUGGUUGUUGACUUAGAUUGAGGUAAAGUCUACUUCUUUUCCAUUCGUUGAGUCUCCAACUCAAUUUCUCAUCUUCUGGCAUGCUCUUGCAUUUCUGCUAAGGUCUUGUAUCGAUUGUUCGAUACGAACUUCCCGAUCUCAGUCUUGAGCAUACUCAAUGAUCGAUACAUCUGCACUUUCUCCGAUGAGGCAUAUUUUAGGCAAAACAAGGCUCUCUCGGUGGACAUCUUAGUGAUUUAUGUCACUGAUUCAAUGGUAUGUUUGAGUGACGGAUAUUCUUGAGCGAGUCGCGCCCUCUCUACUGGUGGAACAUACUCUACCUUGACCUUCUCAACAAUUUUUUCCCAAGUCAUCGCGUUAUUCUUAGUAGGUGAAUAGUUCUUGGUGACAAAGAUUCAUUAGUCUUUUGUUCCUAGGCAUAGACGAUUUUGCACAUAUCUGAACUUUAGGUUAGCUAGACAAGCACAAGUGUAGAGGCAUCCUUCUACAUAUGAGAUCCAUAGCAUGGAAACAAUCAGAUCUCCAACACCAUCAAAAUAUGGAGGCUUGGUGUAAUUAAACUUAAUAAGGCAUUUCCUUCUCCCCAGAUAAAGUUGGAGUAAAGACUACAGUGGCAGCGGUACUGUUAAUGAAAGCAUAUCGUUCAUCAAACAAGGAUAUCAGUUUAGUCUUAAUGGUUCCGAAUAAUUUUAAAAUUACCUUUCUCACAACUUUUGAUACCACCACCUCUAACUAAUUGUGUGUCUCAGCCUCGCUUGGUCCUAACCCUUUAGAUCUAGAACCCGACAUGUUUGAUCUUGUGAUCAUUACCAUGAUGAAGGAAUAAUGGGAAUAGGUUAAUUUGUGCCAAACUAACUCAAAAAGGAUAUUCGAAUCCUCUCCAGUUCCUUAUCAACUUUGUGGUUUUUCUUGAUUCUUGUAUGGAUCAUGUCUUUCUAGUAGCACACGCCUAUACUACCUUUCAUACAUAUCCAUACUAGAUCUAAGAAUUGUCCUAAGGUUUCCAAUUCACUACACUCUGCUAUUGUUAGGUAUCUUCACACACAGUAUUUCAAUGACCUAAUUAUUUCUUUCGACCUUACUCGCAUCUUGCAUUUUUACUGACGCCUUAUAUUACGAAUAUACGCUUUAUUGAGCAUAUACUAAACUUUCUAGACUAUCCUUCUAGGAUUCUUUUCCACUUCUCUCCACUAUAAGUCGACGAAGAAUUUCUACUAAUAUUAACUAAUUAUCGGACGAAUAUGAUUAUAUGCUUCUAAAAUCAAAUAGUCUGUCGACUGAAAGAUCCAACACUACAAUGGUUAGACUCAAUUGAGAGCUUCACAAUUGAGCCAAAUCAGACAAUCUAAAACUAUUUAAUCUUAGGAGCCUGCAACCUAACAUAUUUCUCUAAUAACUAAUUAAUAAUAUUAUUAAUAUAGGUUCUAAGCAACAAUUAACAAGUAUAUCGGUAGGUUAUAAUGGGUCUUAAGUAUUAGGAAAUUCUAAAAAACAUUCUUAAAAAGAUCCCUAGCCUACAUACCAGCAUGCAAUUCUAUCAUUUCAUAUAUCAGGAAACAUAUCAAAUAUGGAUAUUUGGGAAUCACUUUCCUUUUUGAGCUGUGGCUGACUGCACACAUCACAUUCUUUUCUUUUUGUAUUAUUCUUUUAAUGAAAAGAUUUAUUAAAAUGCUCUGAUCCUUAGUUUGAGUUUAGAAUCACACGAGUGUUCAUCCAGUUCACUCAAACCAGGUCUCUAAUACCAACUUGUAGCAUCACGAAUUUCAACCCAAUUUUUUUAUUUAUUAAAAUAUAUCAUAGUAUGAUUACAUUGUGUGGAAACAUGUUGCGAAUGCGUGUGGGUAUAAUCAACCCUUCCCCUUCUCACGUAUCACUAAAGUACCUGAAAACAUUUUUAACUGACUGGGUAAGCACAAGGCAUAGUGAGUUCCCCAAAAUACCAUAUUUCACAAUACAUAUAUCGAGCCCCACCCAAUAAGCAUAUAAAUGAGCCCUGCUCAAUGAGCAUAUAAACGGCCCCUGCCCAAACUACCUACCGGGCCCCACUCAAUGAACCUAACAGGCCCCACCCAAUGGCAAGCCCUUCCUGAGCUACACAAUCAUAUUACACAUAUAGAGACUAAACUUUAGGUUCUACUAAUACAAGCACAUAGAAGUCAUACUUUCUAUUUCGAGUACAUUAAAAUUGAGCACCUAGAGAUCAUCGACUCUACUUUACUACCUCUUAUAACGUAGCACACAUGGAUAUGUAUUGUAAUACACAAUAUAGUGAGGUAACUCACCUGGGCAGAAUCUCAGAAGAUUAACAACUUUAUAGUGAUCCCAUUGGCAGGAGACAUUCGUAACGACUAUUAACGUAUAGUAUUAUUACUUAUUAAGCAUAUGGUAAUGAAAUCUAGAUCUUUCACUAAUCCCAACGAAUACCGAGUUUGAUCAAAUAAGUAUCACCCAAACAGGACAAUUGGGAGCAAUGAUAAUUUCGACAUAUAGCUUUUGUAAAAUCCAACAACCAAACCAAUGUGACCAUUUUGGACACCUCUCCCAAAAGUACAUCAAUCAUUAUUAUAAUUGGAAUUACUGAUAAAUCUUAUUUAUACAUUCAUAAUAAGGACUAUGAAUAUAAAUGGUAAAAUAAACUUAAAAGCCUAGUAAGCAUAGCUUUACUUACAAGGAGGUGUAUGUCUGACCAGAGAGCUUCUACUAGUCGAGCGUAGAUACCAAUAGGGGUGUUCAUAACCGGAUAUCCAAAAAUUCGGAUAUCCGAAAUUUCGGAUAGUUGAUUUUUGGUAUCGAGUUCCAUAUCUGAAAUUUCGUUGGUGCAAUGUGGCUAGUUCUAGAAGCGCACGCGAGGCACCAACUGAAAUCUUCAAAAUUUUCUAUCUUCUUCAUAGAAACUCCACAUAGUUAUCGAGAUCUACAACUUUUGUUUGAACUCUGUAGGCUAAUUCUCAAUUUCUUUUUAAACUUAUAUUUUUAACAGGCUUAGACUGUUAAAGUCCGUAUAAAAAUCAUAACUCUCUCAUACGACAUUUGUUAUCGACUGUCUUUAUAUCGACAUAAUUGUAUCUACGAGAUCUUCAAUUCUCAUUUACAUUGUUGUGGCUAACAAUCGACCGAUCGAGAUUUUGGUUUCUGUGUCACGCAUUGUAUACUGAAAUUUCUAAAAAUUGUAACUUCCUCAUACGAAGUCAGAUUUAGACGUUCUCUAUAUGCAUGCUCUCGGUUUUACGAUUACUAUGACUUUCAUUUAGAUUGUUUUAGCUAAUAAGCAACAUAUCUAAAAUUUACUUUUUAAAAUAUGUAAAGUCGUGUUGGUGUAAUCACGAAACAUCGAAGAAGCAUAAGUUAUCCAUAUGAAGCCGGAUUUAAUUGUUCUAUAUAUCUAUGGAAAUCGUAUUGUUGUUUCCUACGUGUUUUUGAUGAUUACUUUCGCAUAAAAGUAAUAUAUUUCUAUUUAGAAUUUUAUAAACGAUAGUUUAUAAUGAAUUCUACUGAAAGGUGAAAAUGGGGUGUUACAAAAAUCAAGAAAGAUUAUUGAAAAAAGAAUUAAUAAAUUUCAUAUAUCAUUAUCUAUAUGAAUGGAAAAUGGGUCUGAACAUAAAUAAAAUAUUGGUAAGAACAUAAAAUAGAUUUCACAUAUCAUUAUCUAUAUCAUUUAUUAAAUGAUUGGUGUGAACCUAAAAGAAAUAAGUAAAAAGAUAUUUUAUUUCUCUUUAUGUUUGACAUGUGUUCAAUUUAGGCCCACAAGGUUACAAAGGAAAUUAAAUUGCACGUUCUUAUUGUGUUAAAGCAUAAAUUCGACUAUUACGAACAUUAAUAAAUUUAGCAUUAAUUUAUGGAGAUUAGCUCAUCUUAUUUAUCCUUGUCUUCUUUGUACGUCCACAAUGAAUUCGCUUCUUUGCACAAGGAUGCAAGUAUGCAGUUAAAAGACUAAAGACUCGUGAUUAAAAGUGUAAAUACACAAAGGAGCCGGAAAUUUGGAUAUUAAGAAUACAAAUAUAUUUGAAAUAAAAAUAACUAUUUUCACAAAGUUGUUUAGUGUAUAAAGUUUUACACUCCUGAAGUAUAAUAUAAAUAAAGUUACAAUUGAAUAUGGCAAGUUUCUUUUGCUGAAAACAAUCGAUGAUAUAGUUAUUAAAAACCUAUAGAAACACAUAUUUCUCAGUGAGAAUGAACAAAAAAAUAGUUUAAUUUAUUUUUAAACUAACAACAUAUUAUAUGGUAAGUCUAAUAUUAAUCUGAACAACGAUGUGGUAUAAUUAUGCUACUGUGAAGGUCAAAACAUUGUUGUCGUUUAGAGAUGAGAUGUAGGAAAAAUUACUUUAUAAUGAUAUAAAGACAACCAUAUACUUAUAAAAAAUAUUAAAUACGGCAUAUGUUAUGUGAGGUUACGAUAAAAACUUACAUCAGAAUGUAGAUAAAAAUUAUAUGUUCUCUAACAUUGUUGACCAACCCUCUUUGUUGUUCAAUCUACUAAACUCAUAUUCUUAAGUUCUUUAUCUACACAUAUCUAGUCGUGUAGUUAAUCACAUAUCAUGACUUAUCACAAAACUAGCUCACAAUCUCUAACUUUCUUUCAUCUUCCACAAUUUAAUACUAGUAAUGGACACAUCAAACAUAAUCCACUUAAAUUAUGGCUCUGAUACCGAUUGUAUGAUCCAAAUUUUCUACACUAAUUAUCUAAGGGAAUUAUCAAAGUUCUAUCUACUAAAUCUAGAAUGCUACUAAAAUUAAAAUAGUUUAUAACUCAGGUUUAUUCACGGGUUUACAAUAAAAAUCUUACAUACAUAUUGAAACAAUAAGGAAAUGGAAUUUAUUCUAGGUUCUUGUGUUCAUGUCUUCUCACAUUCCACAGUUGCUACCUGAACUUGCAAAACAUGAAAAUAUAUAGUACAUCAGACCAUAUGUCUGGUGAGUUAUAUUCUUAUUUGUUUUCAUGUUUCACUUACUCUUUCUUUCUUAUCUCUUCUUUCUCUUACUCUGCAAUCUAAUCUCUUUCUUUAAUAGCAUACAUUGCUAUUCUUUCUUUUUCAUCUAUAUUUUCUACUCUUCUUCUUAUCUUUACUUUUCACUCUUUCUAUAUCUCAUCUCAUCUUCCUCUGUUCUUUCUCUACUGUACUUUUCUCUUUUCAUCUUGUAUUCUUUCUUAGCCUCUUCUUAGGCUCUUCUCAUGCUCUUUGUUAGACUCUUUUAAGGCUCCUCUUACACUAUGUGCAUACCCUAUCUUUUUUUUUUUCUUAAUCUCUCUUAUGUGUCAUCCCUAAUUUCAUGGCUUGAAAAAAAUACCUUUUCUUUAUAAUUAUUUAAAACAAAUUAUUCCUUCAUUAGUGCGCAAUUUUUCCCAUAAUAUUUAUAAAAUAUUUUCGAAUAAAUGUUUUUCAUUAAUAUUAAAAGCUUUGAAUGUCAACACUGAUACAGUAACAUAAGCAUAACCUAGACUUUACAGACCUUACAACAAUUUAUUAUACUAAUGACCCAAAACUCUUAAAAUCUCUCAGCAAAUUUAAAAUCAUUAUCCAUAUGCCUUCGUACUACUACAUGUGAUACAAAGAAAUUGAGUGUGUCAGGCUGGGACCCUGGUGAGUACAUAGAGUUUACAACCUACAAUAAUAUAAUUAAAUUGUUUUAAAUACAUAUUUCAAAUCAAACAAUUAACCAAAUUACCCAUUCUUGUUAUUUUCACUCUCUGGUCCUAAUAUGAUGAUCUCAUGGGACUAUCUUAAGGAUCGCUAUAAGGAAUGAGAAGACAAUACUGCUUCGGAGAUUCCUUAGCAGUACUUGUCAAUAAGGAACCCAUGGUGGAUAUAGUACAUUGAAUGAACACAUAGUUCAUUAACACUUACAGGCUAUGAGUCUGUCAAUGUUUCACUGGACUGUCUAGAAUAGUUUCUGUUCAUUAAUUAUAAUCUGCUAAAUGAUUGACUUAUCAGAACAAUCGUACUACAAUGGACAUGACCGCACAUCAUAUUUUCAUCUUUCACGACCCCUUUUUACCCAAUAUUUUAAAAUUAUGAUAAAAUAUAUAUUAGAUUAAAUCAAGUAAAAUCAUGUCUUAUUAUUCCACCUAACAUGGAUAUCUUGAACACAGAUCAUAUAGCAUUCACUUAUUUAAAUACUUUAUAUCUAUGUUUAAGACGAAAUUAGCUAUGCACUCACUUUUUAAAAGUGAAUGGCUAGUGAUUAAGGUUGUGGUUCACCUAACACCUUAGUUUUUCAUUUCAAAAGACAUAGAUAUAAAUAUCACUAAGUCUUAGUCUUUGUAUUAUAUUUCACGAUACUAUAAUUACAAUAGUUUAGAUUACUCGGUAAUCCCACUGAAUACUUCAAGCUCUGUCAAAUAAGGAAUAACUAGGUAAGAUCAUAUCGGAUAUAGGAUAUGUUUGGUAUACAAGGUAUAAUAUUUUCAAAUUUUACUUUAAACACCUCACUAAAUCUAGCCAAGAAAUCACUCUCGUAAGUAGAUCGGUCAAUAUUAUAAAAAGAAAUCACUGAUAAAUCUUGUUUGUAGGUUCACAAUAAUAAUUAUGAAUAUAAAUAUAGGUUACACUUAAAGAAUAAGAAGUGCAGCUUAACUUACAGAGUUUUCUAACAAAAGUCUCGAAAGUUCGUAGGAAGAACUCCAACCCAAAAGCUUUUAUUCGUUGGACUCCGAUGACUCAUAGCUCCUCUAAAACACUCUAAAAACUACGAAAGAUCGGACUUGAGAAUGAGGGAGAAAGCUUGAGAUAAAGGGAUCUGAAUUAUGAUUGAAAAGUGUGAAAUUCGGCUAAUAUAUAUAGAUCCCAGAUAGGCGUGUCGCGUCCUCUAUAGGCGUGUCGCACCCUUCGUGUUCUUCGUUGGCUAAAUCCGCUUCAUCACGGAAGGCUUGGGUUUUAAGGGUGCCACGUUUCACAAACUUAUGGUUCCAUGUUUCCUUUGAAGAUUGAUCUCCAUCCCCGGCACAUGGUGCCCUCUAGGUAGUGUCACAUCAUCGCCCUCGCUAGUAUUUUCGCAAUCUUUGUAAAAUAAUAUUUGUUUACAUACAAGCUCCAUUUUCGACGUUCCUUAUAUCCACAUGUAGCUAUUUCUGAGUACAACAACUUUCCUUUUAGAUUUCAAUAGUUAAUUCUCAUUCUAUUUUAAUUUUAUAUUUUUAUAGAUAUUAUUUUCUUGAAAUCCAUGCGAAAAUUAUAACUCAAUCAUACGAAUUCCGUUCUUGACUAUCUUUAUAUUGAAUGAUUUGUAUUUAUGAGUACUUCGAUUCACAUUUAGAGUGUUUUGGCUAACAAUAAACUGAUUUUCAUUUCGAUUUAUGUGUCGCAUGCUGAUCUAUUGUGUUGAAUCGAAACUUCAAAAUAUCUUAACUUCCUCAUACGAAGUCAGAUUUAGGCGUUCUUUAUAUGCACAAGUUCGUAAUCGGGAUCUCUACGAAUUUAAUUUUCAUUAUUCGUCCAAAUUAAUCUCAUGUUUUUAACAUUUAUUUUUAGCCCUAUUUACUAUGUUUUAAAAUAAGCUUUUAUAUAAAUAUUAUACACACAUAAUACUUAUAAAAUNAACAUAUAUUCAAAUAGGUCUCUUUUAUUUAUUCAUAAACGAUUAUAAUCGUCGACCGACAUGGAUACAUAUUUUAUAAUUAUGUCAAGUGAGAAAUGUGUGUGUUACGUCUCAUAGUCUUCUUCUUUUCUACAUCUCUUUUCUUUCUCAUAGUCUGUCGAUUCUGCUCAUACUUUAUGCAUGCUCUUCUCGUAAUCUUACACUGCUCUUGACACAUCUCUUACUCUUUGCAUGCUUGUCUCAUACUCUUCUUACUCUUCAUCUUUCUAUUCUCAACUCUAAUGCCUCGACAUUUUUUUUCUCAUCUAGAACCAACAAUGCCAUCUCAUACUCUAACCUCAUCUAUCUUUUAAGGGAUACAACAUCCCAUUACAUUAUCAAGUAAACUCAUAAGGAGUUACUCUCCUCUCUUAUGAUACCUCAUGGGUCCUUAACCAUUCUUCUCCUCUUGAAUCUACUCAUGGAUUCCUUACCCUUAAUCCAUAAUGGAUUACAUAUAAAUUCUUAAAAAGAACUCUCUUUCCUUAUUCUACUCCUAGAACCUUUUCUCUAUUUUUUCUAACUAUACACAAUAUGGAUUCUCGUAAGAACCAUCUGUCCACAUCUCCAAAGGGAUCAUGAUCUCUUUUCCCCGCAAGGACAUAAUCCCAUUUUUAGAGAAAUUAUAAUCUUAUUCCCGAGGGAACUGUACUCUUAUUCCCAUAGGAAUCUCUAUCUCAUUCCUGGAGGAAUCAUACUCUUGUUCUUAAAGGAACCUCUAUCUCAUUCCCUAAGGAAUCAUCUUGCUACACUUAUAUAUCUCUAUUAUGUUACUCAUCAUGUAAUACUUGUCCCAUGGAUAAUCUAUCUCCUUAUCUCAUUAAGAGAUCUUCUACUAUACAUCUAGUACUUAACUCAUCAAGUACUUAAUCUGUAUCUAUGUCUAGUAACAUAUAUGUAUUCUACACAAUACCAUUGAUGUCUAGACAUGUAUACCUACUCUUAUGAUUAUACUACAAAUAAUCAUCUUCUGUCAUUUUCUACCAUCUCUUGGAUAUUAACAGAUACCUUUCUAAUCUAUUUAACAUACUCGAGGUAUACUUACAUGCUCUGCUACAUGUUUCUAACAUAUACCUCAUACAUUCUCUAAAUAUACAUACAUGCUUUGAUACAUGUUCUUACACGUAUGACCAUCAUCUAUCUUAAUCUCAUCACUUGGGAACAUUCACUUAGUGCCCCAAGAUUCAACAUACAUGUACAUAUAUAUAUAUAUAUAUAUAUAUAUAUACAUAAUCUAGAAUGUAUGUGUGUGCGUAUGCAUGUGUGAGAAUUAUAACUCACUUGGGCUCCAUUCUUCAAUUGAUGCAUCUUGAUCAAUCUUCCUUACUUUUAGGCCUAUUAAUACACAUAUACAAGUCUCUUAAUACAUGUCCUAGCCUAUUAAGAGUUUAAUGAUUCUUAUAGUCAAAAUGACCACUUAAUGGAUAAUGACUCUAACAUCACAUUUUCUACUUCUAAUCUCAUCCAACCAAUGAAUUAGACAUCCCAUACUACCUAAUUCAUUAUAAUCUACAUCUAAUGCAUCAAUGCACUAAUCAUUAGUUAGGGUUUCAAACCCUCAGUAGACAUAUAUAGAUUUUUCCUUAGCAAUCACAUAUAAAUCUUGUUCAAGGCUUCUAAACACUUGAUUAAUAAAUACUAACAAGUUUUCUUAACACAAUCUUACAUAUAUAACUUAAUUCAUCAAAACACCAUUAAAGCCCUACUAGCUUAAAAAUGGAGGUGAUGAUUGCUUCAUGAGUUUUCCAUGUCAAAUCCAAGCCACAAGCACCCUUCAUCAUUUCUUGAUCCUUCUCCAACCUCAAAAUCGCUAGAGCUUAGCUAUAGAGGGCUUGGGGUGUGUUAUGAAGAGAAAGAAGACUUAACAACUUCUAAUCUGAUUUUUACAUGAUAUUGCAACAGGUUUAUAACCACGCCGUGGUGCAUUAAAUGAUCAUGUGGCCAGCCUCUGACCGGGUUGCGGUGACUUCCCACAACAUCAUCCUAUUUUGUGAGUCCCGUAACUUCAGGCUAGACGUAUAGAGUAUAAUAAUAAUAAUUAUACAUUUAUCAAACAAUUAAAAUCAUUGAUUAGAAUAAUUGUUCUUAAUAUGUGUUAUGAGCAAUUAAAUAUUUAUCAUAUACACAUUAAAUGGACAAUAUUAUGACUAUAUAAUAUUUUUAAAAAACCUUAAUAUAAAAUUUAUCAUUGAAGAAAUAAAAUAAAGAUUAAAAAUAAAAGAUUAUUUAGGAAGAACAAUUUUAACGAAAGUUGUAGUAGAUGUAAUGACAAUUUUGUGGAUAUAAAGAACGCACAAAUCUGAUUUCUUAUAAGGAAGUUAUAUUUAUAUGAGUUUCUCUUUCAAAUCGAUACGAAGAUGUGUUUCAUAAAAAGUGAAUCGGAUAUAGGUUCAUUAUUAUCCUAAGUGAUAUAAAUGAAUGUUUUAGAAAUUGCAGGUAGGGAGGCGUACAUAUAAAGAACGCCUAAAUAUGACUUCAUACAAUGAAGUCAAGAUUUUUCGAAGUUUCGAGUACGAUAAGUACAACAAUGUGUGACACAUAAAUCAAAAUGAAAAUUAGUUGAUUGUUAGUUGAAACAAUCUAAAUGAGAGUUGUAUUACUCUUCAAUAUGAAAUCGAUGAUAUAAAGAAUGUCAAAAAUAGAGCUCGUAUGAAGAAGUUAUGAAUUUCGCAGUGUUAUUUACAGUGUAAUACUUCUAGGACCGUAAAACAAAUAAUAAUUUGAAACUUAGCCAACAAAUUCUAAAUGAAAGUUCUAGUACUCGUCGAUAGCUACGUGUAGAUAUAAAACCAUAAAAAGUGAAAACUGUAUACGAAAGUUGUGAUUUUUAGAAGAAUAAUAAAAUUAAACCGUUAAAUGUAUGACAUGUGGCAUCAUGGAUGAGUGACACUUGGAACCAUAUCACUCUACCCUUACUUCCCACGAAAAGCCCGCAGAUUAGUAAACAUGACGGUACGCAACGUGCCAAGGCAUUGUGUGCCUUUCUGUAAUUUCUAUGUAUAUGGUCGUUUCCUUGUUCAUUUGUUGCUAAAUCGUUUUAAAAUCUUUCCCAAACUUUCCUGUUUUCUUGAGGCCCAAUCUUUGGACUUUUUAGGUGUUAUUAGUGAAGUUUUAGAGUGUUAGAGAAUCUAGAGAAAUAUAUUUUUCUAUUUUAAAGUUUUGCUCGUGUAAUGUUCGUUUUUUCGUCAAACAGCCUGUAAGUUGAAUUAUGUUUAUCGUGAUUUAAGUAUAACUUAUAUUUUUUAUUCAUAAACAUUAUUAUGAACUUAUAAAUAAGGUUUAUCAGUAAUACCAGUCAUUAUACUGACCGAUCUAAUUACGGGAGUUAUGUCUAGGCUAGAUAUGUAAGGUGUUUAAAGUGGAUUUUUCAAACAAUACAUCUCCAUAUACCAAAUGAAUCCUACCUCCGAUAUGAUCUUACCUGGUUGUUCCUUAUCAUCUAUAUGUCAAUGUUCUUUUGGGAUUAUUGAUUAAUCUGAUAAAAAAAAUUAUAAUGAUGAAACUUUAUAAAUACGAAAGAAUAUUGAGGGUUAGUAAUAUUCGUGUAUAAGUCAUUUUGAAAGGGAAUCUGAAGUGUCAGUAAAAGAGCUAACUUUCCUGUGGGUCUUCCGCCCAUAUCAGGUGAGUGCAUAGUUACUUUCAUGAACAUGAAUUACUACAAGUAAUUAAUAAAAAUUCUUAAAUAUUUGUUGAAAAUUUAUAUGUGAAUUAAAUGUUUAUUAUCUUGAAUAUUUGUUAAAUGUAUAUUUGAUAAUAUACGUUGUGUGAACAAGAUAUGGUUAUAUAUAUGUUAAUGUGUUUAUAUGAUAUUAUUACAUGAUAAUCUUAAAAAUAAGUAAUAUUCCUUAAAAAUCUUAAUGUAUAUUAAAUGUCAGAUAUUCUAUGUUAAAAUUAUACACUAAAAUAUGAUAGUGUUGUCUAAUCUUGUCUAAGUUUAAAAGUAAAACAUAUAAAGAAUAUUUAGAUCCAGUUAAGUUGGAUAAAAGAAUAGUAGCAUACUAUAUUGCGAUAGUAUGGAAUAAAUAGAAAAAUGUUUUUGGAAAUUGAUUAUAUGGAUUAUAGUCAUACCUAGUAACGAAAUAAGAUUUAUAAAGGGUGUUUAGUUCGUGUUAAUCAAAGGAGUAUUUAGUAACACCCUUUAUUGUAAAAGUAUUACAUAUGUAGGAAAUUGUGUUGAUUGCAUGCUUUGUAAUAUUGUCUAGUUAUACACUAAGAAUUAGAAGAAUGUUUAGCUCAAAUAAGUUUCGAUAUUAUGUAGCAUCAUAUUAAGGGUGUGUGUGAUAGGACCGGGGAUUAUAACUCUAUUAUGUGGCACUAUCAGGUGAUGAUGUUUAGUCUAUGUACCAGAGUACAAUAAACUAUUCAUUUGGAUGAGCAUAAAUGGUGGGUCCAAAUCAGGAAAUUAUAACAGUAUGUUUGGUCAUCUCCCAAAGUAAGAUGAAAACACUUAAUUAUUUUAGACGGUCUUAUGAAUUACAUUGCUAAUGUCGGCUCAUAACCUACAUAAUUAGAUGAAAUUGGAUAUCAUAUUCAUCAAUUACUCUGAUGCAUUAAAUUGGCUAAAUGACUUACACUAGCUAAGGAAUCCCCUAACUCUAUACUCAAAACAUUUAUCUAAAUGAUUCAUCAGGCGUGUUAAUAAUUGUUGGUUAGGAUUUGUGAGAAUCGGUUGGGAUGGGUAUAAAUCGGUGUAAUGUCUUAUAGAUAUCCAUGUUAAGGAAUAGAUCUAUAUUUUCUGGGAAUAGCUGGUUUUGGAGGUUUGAUAAUUAUAAAUUAUUAUCAUAAUAAUAUUGUGGGAUUGAAAACCCUAUGUGUCUCACCAGGUUUCCUAACCUGACCCACUCAAACUAUAUGCAUCACAUGUAACAGGGUUAAAGCUACUAGAACUUGAUUAGGAUGCCAAGUGAUUUAGAGACAACCUAAAAUAGUGUUUAGGACCAUUAGGUAUUUAUGUUGUAACAAUGUUAUGUAUUGAUUAUUACAUCCUUAGAGUUUUUGUAUUUUGAAACAUCUCUAUUCAAAGAUAUUUUAAUAUAACAAGACAAUUUCCGCAAAAUAUUAUAUUAUAUUGAGAUUUUCCACAAAGAUAUUGUGAUUUUUAAAGUGUAAAAAAAAAAUUUGGUUAUGAAAAGUAGGGGAUGUCACAAUUUGUAUCGGAGAAUUAGUUUAAUCAAACUAGGAAUAGUGAUUAUUUAUAGAUUUAAACUUAGAGAUUAACCGAUGACGACGAGAGAGAGAGAGAGAGAGAGAGAGAGAGAGAGAGAAAGACAGAGAGAGAGAUGUGUCUAGUAUUUUUUUUUAGGUUGUUUCCCUAAAUUAAGAUUAUAAAGACACAAGCACAAGAAUAUUUUAGGGUAAAUUCCUUCAUUAAUAUUAUGUGCUAAUAAAGUUAUUUUAUAGUAUACCUUGGGAUGUAUACCUUACUUGCUAUUAUGUGCACUAGCAUAUUUUAGGAAUAAUGCCUUAUAUGCUAGUAUGUGUUAAAUGAUAUGUGUUAUAACAUGUUUAGGUUGCCUACCUGGAUUACUAUCAAUUGAAGGAAUUUCAGGUCUAUUUCCGACCAUGAUUUGGAAAAGGGAAAUUUUAUGUGUGCAUGAAUCUAAAUUUUUAAUUACAAUAUUCGAACUGGCUUGUAACUUUUUGACAACAUAAAGAGAAUUAUGAUAGUUAACAUUAGUAACUUCAUAAAUAAUUUAUUAAUACCUAUAGAGUGGUAUCGUACUUUUAGAGUGUGUUUGGUAAAAUAAUAGUAUGUUUGGAGGAGUAUUGUAUGAGUAAAAUACAUUUUCAGUUGGCGAGAUGAUAGAACUUCUAGCAUAAUCCAUGAACUUAUCCCACCCCUAGCGAUUCUACAGUCGACCAGAUUGAGGCAGUGAUUGCUUACGGAUUUAGAAGUGCUGAAGAUGGUGAUAUAUACUUUAACAGUUUCAAAGUUGGAGUUAUAUGAGAUGCUAUGAAGAAUUUAGAGAAUUCUAAAAAGCUGAAAGGAAAGUUGUAUAGAGUUUUUAGAGUCAUUAGGUCGAACUUUGUCUAUCAUUGCAAAGUAGUAUGCAGUUUGAGUGGUAUGUUAAGAGUUGAUCUGUACCAUAUACAUUAUGCUUUGAUUUAAUUUUUAAAAAUAUUGUGUAACAAUCGACUUUUAGCACAUCCUUACAAGAAUUGCAUAGUGUUUUAAGCCGACUUUAACAUAUAGGACUAGGAUGGUGAAAUUAGUAAUUGGUUUAUGAAGUACUAAUGAACUUACUUGUUUAAGUAAAGUCAGAACCUUUAUCUAAAGUGGAAAUAAGCCCACAAUAUUGCAUAAGUAGAGAUGUUAAUGACAUGGACGAGAAGGAACCAAGAUAAAGCUACUAGAACAUGUUGAGAUGCAGUCGAGAGGUAGACUUUGUAGGAUUGACACCUAUAAAGUAAAUAAUGAUGAAGUGAAGACAUAGAAUGAUAUUCAAUGUGACUUGUAGAUAUAGAAAGGGUGGUACAAGUAAUUAGAGAACAUUAGUCUCUAUACGAUCAGAGUAAAUUCAAAUGAAGUACACCCUACCGACUAGGGACUAUACUGGAAAGAAUAUGAAGAGUUUAGAAGUAGAGUUCCUAGAGAACUAACAAAAAAACAUUAGGAUAAGCUACAUUAAGCAUUUGCGUGAAAAUAAUCCUUGAAGAGGAUUCUAGGAGAUUUUAGUACAUCUUUGAUAAAGCGCAUCAUUGUUGUUAGAGCACCUAAUAAAGAUGCGAAAAUCCUAGUGGAUUCUAGGAAUGUUUGUUGCAUGUGUUUGUCUGGACACAUACAUAUAUGCUAAAUUGCUUUGUGGUUUUUAUGUGUAGUAACUUGGGAACUACGAGACAAUUCUUGGGACGAGUAGGAUUAGAUGUGAAAGGUAGAUAGGAAUGUACUAUCGCAAGCACAAGAUUCCUACUUGUAUUAGGACGAGUCACAGAGGUACUAAGGCAAUAGUAGUUGAGUGUUUUUGUUUGUUUCUGUUAUUACCUGCAUUAUGGUAAAGACUAGGAAGUUAGUUUUUAGUUCAGAACUAGGUUGUCAUUAAAGAUCGAGUCCGAUUAAUAUAAAUAUUCGAAGUAAGUGAACUGGUUUAGAGAUCCAUGUCUUGCGUAGUGACCGACUUUAGUUAGGAGAUUGAAGAAGGGGAUAGCUAAGGUAAUUGACAGAAGUAUUACAGCCUUCGUUGGGGCUGAACAGCUAGUAGCUAGAGAUGUUACCUGCAAUGUUGUGGCUAUAUGUAACCCUGGUUCCUGGUACGUAUUUAACUUAUAAUUGAUUCUAAUUUUUAGAUGAGUUGGGAGCCCCAAACUAGUCGAGUAGAGAUCAUAAGGGCUGCGAAUUUUAUGUGACCUACUCGAUGAGUUGGGAGGCCUCAACUCGACGAGUAGGAUGGAAGAUAUGAAAACCUAAUUUUCGAGAUUUGCACCCUAUUUAAACACCUUAACCCCAAGGUAUUUGCCUCAUUUCCAGCCUCCAAGUUCGUGACCCAAAAUCUCGAAAGCCUAAAGCUAUUGUGAGUGAUUGUCAGCCAUUCUAAGUGUUUUCAGUGUGUACUUGAAGCAUUGGAAGAAGGAAAAGCUUGAGGACACAAGAAAGAGCUUAUGGAUCCAGAAUCCUUGCCUCAUCCACAACAUUUUACAGGUAUAAAGCUUGAACCUUUCCUUGUAGUUUUUUAGAUCUUCUUUUCAGAUUACUUUGCUUGGUUUUAAUCCAAAUAUCAUGUUCCUUAGGAGUUGGAUGACCCAAAUAGGUUAACACUUAAUAUCUAAGGUAUCAAGGGGUUUUCAUGGCAUAAUGGUGCCAACUUUAUGGCCAUGGGAGUCCCAUGCAACCUUUAGACCAUUAUUUUGGCCUUUUGGAGCUUCUAAUGGCCCUGCAUGUAGAGAAAGCUAGGACUUUACGUGAUCUCUUUAUUCCUAGAUUCCUGAUCCAGGACCUCAUGACCUAUCUUGUAGUUUUGGGUGGUGUUUAGAUUAAGACUUUGGGAUUUUUGGGUUAGGGUUUGAGAUUAAUCCCUUUAGGAAAGGUAUUAAUGGGUAAAGUUGGAAACUUUACCCUUCUAGAGGCAUUUCUAGUUUAUAUCUGGGGUAUGGGGUGUAGAUCUAAAGAAUAAGGACUUAAUAUAUUAAGAAUGGCUAACAGACUGAAGAACUCGACGAGUUCAUAGAGGAACUCGACGACUUGAGUCGAAGUGCCACGAUUUUGUUAAAAGGGAAGAACUAAGUGAGUUGGAGGAAAACUCGAUGAGUUAGAUUGCGAUUUCACGAUUUUAUUAUUCAUGGGAACUCAGCAAGUUGAAGGGAGAACUUGACGAGUUGAGUCAACUUGGAGCGUUGAAUUUGACUUUGACCUAGACUUGUAUUUGACCAUAGUUGACCCUAAAGGGUUAUGAUCUUGAAAUGGUAUCUAAGGGGUUGUUUUGGUUCAGGGAGUGAGUAGAGCUGAUUCCGGCCAGAGAGGUUUCAACUAUCAUCCGACAUUUAAGGUGAGUUUCCUCUUGGAUUGAAUGGGUCGAAGGCACCAAUGUCGGCCUGUGUAUAUUAUGUGUGUUGAUUAGUAGCUAAGUGUAGGCAGGUCCCAUAUCUUAGCAUUACUUGAGUAUGGAGAUGGAAUGGAUUGGUAGAUUUUGGUUAUACUUGUUGUAUGUGUGAUACUUGUAUGUGUUUCUUAGUUAGCUGAGUGUCGGCGGGGCCCGUAUCUCACUAUUAGCUGAGUGUGGGCAGGUCCCGUAACUCCUAUUUAUCCUUGAGUGUGGGUGGGGCCCAUAUCUCAUUAUGCAUGGAUAGGGAUCGUAUUUCAUAGGGUGGGCCCGUUAUCCGAGUGUGGGUGGGCCUGUAUCUCCUAGUUGCAUGUUUGGUGUAUGGUAUGUGGUAGUUUGGGGGAAAUUCACUAAGCUUCAUGCUUACGGUUUUCAGUUUUGGUUUCAACUACUUUCAGUAGCAAAGGGAAGAGCUCGGGAUGACUGCAAUGCACACACCAUGACGUUUAGCCUGGGAUGUUUACUCUGAUAUAUUUGACAUAUAUUUUGAUAUAGAUAUACCGUUUAUGAUGUUUUGAGAUACUAUGACUUAUGUUUUGAUGAGAUGAUUAUAACUAUGGUUUAUUUAUGAUUUAAAAAUGAAAUAUUUGGGACCGUAUUUUACGAGUGCUACAAGUUGGUAUCAGAGCCUUGGUUUGAGGGAUUCGGGUACACUCUCGGGUGUGUCCGAACUCAAAUUAAGGGCUUGGUAUGAAAAUUUUUAGAAGAAAAUUGUUUUUAUAAAAAGGAUUUUUAAAAGAGAAAAGGGUGUGGUGCAUGCAAUCAGCCGAGCUCAGGUAACCUCUCCCAAAUUACCUAUACAUGUUUAUGUUAUGAUAUGAAUUGUGAAUAUAAGAAUUGCAUGCUAGAUUAGGGUUAACGAUUUAGGAAGGAUUCCUUGUAUGCCUACUGUAUGAGCUUGUUAAACUGCAUGCUAGUACUAAUUAGUCAGUGAUAUGAUGGCCUGAUUAGGAUAUGCUUGUUUUGGUUUACUCAAUGCUCAAAUGCUACUUUCUUUAUGCUUUUAGGAGUUCUAGUUAUCCUUAACUAACUAGUGAACGAAUACGCUAAGUUACAUAUUAUGAGGACUAAAUAAUUUCAGAAGGUUAGGUUUAGCCUUAUUUCGCAGCUCUUGUUUGAGUCCAACCGUUGUAGGGAGAGACCUCUCAUUCGAAGAAUUAUCUGGUCUUAGUAAUAUGUAAUGGUAUUCACGAGCUAGCUAGGGAAAGGUAGCAUGGGCUUCUUAUGCAGCUGAUGGCGAAGAGUGGGUCGGAGAUUACCCUAGGUUAAGCCUAGGAUGAGAUUAGCGUUGAGAGUAGUAGUAGUGAAAGGGACUUGGUGGAGUCAAGGUAAUCCUUGAGGAAAGUACAGGUAGAUGUGGAAGGUAGUAUGGGCCCGUACAACUGAAAGCAGAGGAUCCAUACUUGAGUCAAGGAGGGCUAAGAUGAAACCAGGGAACUUGUAGUGUGUGUGAUCCCUCGAGUUAUGAUAAGUAUUUUGAUGAUUGUUAUGAUGUAUUUUCAGUAUGGUGACGCUACACACUAGACCAGUUGGCAUUUUUGGUGUAGGUGAGGGAUUAGGCUCGGGCUCUGGAGUCUGGCAGCUCCAUGAUCAGAUGAGGGUGUUCAUUUCAUCGGAGAUCACGCACAAUAUCAUUGACCAGACUCUUUUGAUCUUUAGUACGGUCAAGGAGGGCAUUUUGGAGAUUUUGGAUGAGAGGUUGGGUGCCUUCCGCACUGAGAUGGAGGCCAUGAUGGCGGCGCGCAUGUUGACAUUCAGGGAGUUCCGAGCUUGUGGAGCUCCAAAAUACCACGGGGCUAGGGACCCCAUUGCUAGCAGCAAGUGGUUGGUGGAUAUCGCCAACGCCUUUCACACCAGCCGUUGUCCCAAGGGGGACAAGGUUCGGCUUGCUUCCUGCCUUCUAAAGGACAUAGUUCGGGAUUGGUAGGAGGAGGCUGGACGAGCUAUUGGAGAUGAUUGUGUUAUUGAUGUGAUGACUUGGAUUGAUUUCUCGACCAGGUUCAGGGUCGAGUUUGCACCUGUGAUUGAGGUAUAGCAGCUUGCACGAGAGUUCCAGGACCUCCAGCAGACUACUGAGAUGGUGGCUGAGAUCACCGCCAAGUUCAGGGGGAGGGCCCUUCUCUUUCUUUAGUAUGUGGAGGACGAGGAAAAGAAAAAGGCCCAGUAACAUGAGAUGUUAAGGAGCAACAUACGACAAUUUGUGAGCCAGUCCAGCUUCAAGACGCUGGAGGAUAUGAUAGUGACGGCUCGGGAGAGAGAGAUUGAUUUAGAGAUGUAGAUGAAGAAGAAGCCAGAUGCGGCAUCUGGUGUGGACGGUUCGGGCAAGAAGCCCAAGAUGGAUUCCCAAGGGAAGAGCCAGCAAGGCCGAGGCCGCUGCAACAAGUAUGGUAGGAUGCACGAGGGGACGUGCAGGGCGGGUAGUUCAAUCCGCUUUAAGUGCGGCCGAAUUGGUCAUGUCAGCAUGGAUUGUACUGCUACCACCACUACUACAGUAUAUGAUCUAAUUUGCUUCCAAUGCAAUCAGAAGGGCCGUAAGAGGUCCCAGUACCCGAGUUUUGCAGCAGCAAGACAGGUGGCGGCCCCCGCUCCUGCUACAUUGAGGAUUACCGAUGGCCGUCAGGGCCGAACAAAGGCACAUAUGGCAAAGAGAGAGCCUUCCAGCUGACAACAGAGGAGGUACGUGUAGCUCCUAAUGUUGUGAUGGGAUCAUUCUUAGUGAACGGCAUAUCUGCUCUAGUAUUAUUCGGUUUAGGGGAUACCCAAUCGUUUGUAUCUCUUGCGCUUAGCAAGCGAUUUGUUGGAGCUCCCGGGGAGCUAGACUGCCUCUUUGAUGUAGAGAUUGCGGAUGAUAGAAUCGUUCGGGUCGCGAGGGUUCACCGGGGAUGUACACUACAGUUGUUCGAUGAGCAGUAUUAUGUGGAUUUAGUCCCCAUUCCCCUGAGAGGGAAUAAGGUUAUCAUGUGUAUGGACUAUUUGAGCCCUAAUAGGGCAAUGAUCGACUGCGAGCAGCAACUAGUGAGAGUUUGGACCCCAAGUGGGGGAGGGUUGGUGAUUCAGGGAAAGAGGCCGCAGCGUGGACUGAAUUUGUGUUCAGCAGUGAGGGCGAGAUGCUACCUUCAGCAGGGUUGCACAGGGUAUGUCGCCUAUGUCAUGGAUACUCGGGAUAAGGGUAAGGCGACUAUGCAUGAUGUACCGAUCGUACGGGAGUACCCAGACGUGUUUCCAAAGCAAUUGCCUGGGGUACUUCCGGAGAGGCAAGUAGAGUUCAAGAUUGACCUAGUUCUUGGUGCGGCUCCGAUAGUCAAGGCACCAUAUCAGUUGGCUCCUCCUAAGAUGCAGGAGUUGUCUACACAGAUUCAAGAGAUAUUAGACGAGGGAUUUAUCAGACCGAGCAGUUUGCCAUGGGGAGCAUCGAUUCUAUUUGUGAAGAAGAAGGACGGGUCACAACAGAUGUGUAUAGAUUAUCGGGAGUUGAAUAAGGUGACGGUGAAGAACCAUUAUCCCCUCCGACGAUUUAAAAUUUAUUUGACCAACUUUAGGGUGCAUCUUGGUUCUCCAAGAUUGAUCUGCGAUCAGGUUAUCACAAAAUGCAAGUCAUGGACGACGAUGUGCAGAAGACAGCCUUUCAGACUCGCUGUGGUCAUUACGAGUUCGUUAUGAUGUUGUUUAGGCUUAUCAAUGCUCCUUCCGCGUUCAUGGAUCUCAUGAACCGCGUGUGUAAACUGAUGUUGGACCGACCUGUGAUAGUUUUCAUCGAUGAUAUCUUGGUUUACUCCAAGACUCAAGAGCAGCAUGAGGAGCACCUGGGGGAGCUGUUAGAGACACUGAGGAGAGAGAGACUCUUCACAAAGUUCUCCAAGUGCGAGUUCUGGUUGUGUGAGAUGCGGUUUCUCAAGCACCUUGUCAACUAGAAUGGUAUUCUGGUUGAUCCAUCCAAGGUAGAAGCCGUGAUGCAGUGGGUGGUUCUGAGGUCUCCAUCCGAGAUUCGAAGUUUUCUUAGUAUGGCGGGUUAUUAUAAGAGAUUUAUCCAAGACUUCUCCUAGAUUGUUGUUUCACUGACCCGACUGACCAAGAAGUCUGCGACAUUCCACUGGGGGCCUGAGCAGCAGGCAACUUUCAAGACUCUCAGACGAUGCUUGUGCGAGGCACUAAUUCUGACCUUGCCAGAGGGUUUCGACGAUUUUGUUGUUUACUGUGACACUUCGAUCAUGGGUAUGGGUGCAGUGUUGAUGCAGCGGGGUCAUGUGAUAGCAUGUGCUUCAAGGUAAUUAAAGCCUCAUGAGGAGAAUUACCCGACGCACGAUUUCGAGCAGGGAGUUGUUGUUUUUGCCCUCAAGAUUUGGCGACACUACCUCUAUGGGGUUCAUUGUACCAUUUACACAAACUACAAGAGCUUGAGGUACCUGAUAGAUCAGCCAAAUCUAAACAAGAGGAAACGUCGUUGGUUAGACGUGGUGAAGGAUUAUGACUGUGAGAUCCUUUAUCACCCGGGGAAGGCCAAUGUGGUGGUCGAUGCUCUUAGCCACAAGGUGGUCGUGGCUCUGAUUCGGGAUAUAUGCCUGAGGAUGACAUUGAUUACUCUGCUGCUGGAGCGGAUUAGGGAGGCUCAUGUUGAGGAUAUGAAGGAGGAGCACCGGAAGUGUGAGCGGAUCAUAGGUCAAGUGGUUUCAUUUGAUUAUGACAACUAUUGGUUGUUGAACCGGCAUCGGUGGGCCUGGGUUCCUUAAUGUGGCGGUGUACUCCAGGUUCUGAUGGAGAAGGCUCACAAGUCUAAAUUCUCCAUUCAUCUCGAGGCGACAAAUAUGUAUCAGGAUCUUUUCCUUGAUUAUUGGUGGCCCUACAUGAAGUAGGACAUAACUUGGUAUGUGGAGUGAUGCUUGACUUGGAGUAAAGUCAAGGACUAGCACCAACGACCUCACGGCAAAAUGCAGCCGUUGGAGAUUCCCGUGCUGAAAUAGGAAGACAUCACCACGAAUUUCAUCACAAAACUUCCCAUGACUACAGGUGGAGUAGAUUCGAUUUGGUUCAUCUUGGAUUGGUUGACCAAGAUUGCACAUUUCAUCCCGAUCCAUGAUAGUAUACCGGCUGAAAAGCAAGCCGAGAUCUACGUACGCGAGGCGGUGGCACGUCUUGAAGUGCCGGUGUCGGUUGUGUGGACCGAGAUGUUCGCUUUACUUCCAGAUUUUGGAAGCGGUUUCAUGAUUACAUGGGUACUCUUUUUCACUUUAGUAUAGCUUUUCACCCUUAAACAGAUGGGCAGAAUGAGAGGACGAUUCAGACUCUGGAGGAUAUGUUACGGGCAUGUGUAUUAAAUUUUGGCAGGAGCUAGAAUGCGUAUCUUCCGUUAGAGGAAUUUUUGUAUAACAACAGUUAUCACGCUAGCAUAGACCGUACUCCCUUCGAGAUGCUCUACGGGAGGAAAUGUAGGACCCCAAUCUGUUGGGGCGAGGUCGGUCAGAGAGUCAUGGGGAAUACGGACGUGGUACUCAAGACUACUAAGAAGAUCCAGUGGGUCUGGAGCUGACUUCAGACAGCUCAGAGUCAGCAGAAGAGCUAUGCUGACAGGUGCCGAUCGGACCUACAGUUUCAGGUUGGAGGUAUGGUUCUCUUGAAGGUGUCACCUUGGAAGGGUUUCAUCUGAUUCAGGAAAUGGGGCAAGUUAGGUCCUAGGUACAUCAGUUAGUUCAGGGUUUUGGUUCGGGUGGGCCACAUAGCUUAUCCCCUUGAUCUUCCACCCAAGCUUAGUCAGAUCCACACUACUUUUCAUGUAUCCCAGCUACGGAAGUGCUUAGUGGAUUAUUUUGUAGUUGUGCCUUUGGAGGAUAUUCAGGUGGACGACCGCCUAAACUAUGUUCAGAGGCCAGUAGCGAUUCUAGAUUGGAAGACAAAAACCUUAAGGAACUAGGUUGUACGGUUGGUGAAGGUGCAGUGCAUAAAAUGAAAGGGGUCAAAGUGGACUUGGCAGCCAGAGGAAGAGAUGAUAGAGCAUUAUCCAUAAUUAUUUGAGAUAGUAGACUUCGAGAACGAAGUAUGAGAAAAGUAGGGGAGCAUUGUAAAGUUUGGUUCCUGGAAUGUAGUUAACUUAUAAUUUAUUCUAUUUUAUAGAGAAAAUCGACGAGAUGGGAGCCCCAAACUCGUUGAGUAGAUAUCAUAAGGGAUGUGUAUUUUAAGUGACCUACGCGAAGAGUAGGGAGGCCUCAACUCGACGAGUAGGAUGGAAGAUAUGAAACCCUAAUUUUUAGGGUUUGCACCCUAUUCAAACACCUUAACCCUAAGGUAUUGGCCUCAUUUCCAUGUCCCUAACCCUAAAUCUCAAAACCCUAAAGCUAUUGUGAGUGAUUUUGAGCCAUUCUAAGUGUUUUUAGUGUGCACUUGAAGCCAUUGGAGGAAGGAAAAGCUUGAGGACCACAAGAAGGAGCUUAUAGAUCAAAAAUCCUUGCCUUAUCUAUGCCAUUUUGUUGGUAUAAUGUAGUGAUAAAGAACAUGGUUUGGCAUGCAGAAUUAAAGCUUGCACAAUUGAACAUGGUGAUUUGAGUGUUUAAGAGAUAUAUUGAAUGUAUAUGGUGUUACAAAAAAGAUCUAGAUCUAGACUACAUAAUUAACGCACACUUACACACUCACUUCUACAUCUCUCAAGCACAUCUCUACAAGUGGACAACCCCACUAUUUAUAGAGGUGUUUACAUGUCACUCUCUCACUCUCUAACAAAUGGGUCUAAAGGCUAAAGCACCACAUGCAAGUGGGUUUUACAAAAGUCAAACAUUUACAAAGUCAUGAAUGAAUAACUUUGCACCCCAACAUUCUCCCCCUCAAAGUUAGGAAUGAAUGACCCGCUUUAAAUCUUCCAAAAUCAAGCACUAUGCGGUUCGAGCCUCAAAGGUGACACUUGUCGAAACGAACUUCAAUCUUCAAUUCUUCCAUGAAUCUUCAAUUUGGGCUCUAGGAUGUGAGACCAUACAAUCCAAGCAACAACGAAUGAUUAACUCCAAAUAAUCACCCCAAAGUUGCGCAUAAAAACACACCCCAAAAAUCUUCAAUAAACCAAACCCAUUUCGAAUACAUCACUUCUGAACUUCCAAUUGCAUCAUCUCGUGAGCUUUAAAACUUUAAGAUCACUUCGGUCUUCAAAUCCGUGUAAUAUGAAAAAUUCAAGUUCGAAUUUCCAUAUAAAACUUCUCCCCCUUUUUAUAAUCGAAAUUCGAUUAUAAAACUCCAAAGGAAAAAGAACGUGCUCUAUUCGGAAUUUUUCAUGUCAAAACUCCCCCUUAACAUGUGGCAUAAACAUUGUGCUUCAAUCCGGAAAAUCCAAAAAAUAUUGAAUUUUUAGCUUCGUUCACGGAUCGCCUUUGACAAAAUUUCUCAAAAAUGGGUAGAAAUUGUCAAUUUCAAAAUUCUGCAGUGACCCGUUGCGCCAAAAACAGCCAAAUAUGCGAAACACACUCCCAUUUGCGAAACUGGGUAAAAUGUGUAAAUUCGCACAAACUGCAGGGACCAGAUUUGAAAAUUCUGCAAUUUCAGCAUUUUAUGACCCCAUUUGCGAAGUUGGGUAUAAACUGUCAAAAAUGCGAAACUACAGGUACUCGUUUUGANACAGGGAAUGCUUCGCACACCCUUCGCAUCUUUCACUCACCCUUCUCAUCUUUCACCCAAUUAAUCAAAUGAACCAAAUGCGAAUGAACAACUUCCAGAUAUGCGAACCAUGGAUAAGAAAAUACUUCGCAUCUUAACUCCAAAAUUGAACAAAAUGCGAACUCACGUGAUCUCUGUAACCAAAUGCGAAUCCAAUGUUUAUAAGCAAAUGCGAACUCAAAAUUACCAAAUUCAAACUCCAUUCACACAAAUGCGAAUUGAACAAACAUUUCAGAUGCGAACCCAGAUGCGAAACCCACUGAUUUCAAAUGCGAACGUUAUUCUUGAGAUCAGAUGCGAACUUGAUACAGAUCUUGGACUCCAAACGUGCGAAACCAAACCAUCAACAUCAUUCAGUUUGUUUGAGAAACUCAGAUGCGAACCCAGAUGCGAAACCCACUGAUUUCAAAUGCGAACCAACCAAAAAUCAUCAACCACAUACUUGUCUCACCAAACGCGAACUGGAUAUCACCAUUAAAUUCUCUUCGCAUUCUAUAGAUGCGAACACAAUCCAGAUCUCCGACUCCAAGCUUGCGAAAUCAAAAUCAAUUAACCUCAUAAGCGAACUCAAUUGAUGUCAUAUGCGAACCUAAUCAUCAAAUACGAACAUUAAUUUUUGAGACCCAGAUGCGAAUAUUCUUGGCAUUCAAACCAAUUAAUCGAUUUUCAAAAUCAAAUUCGCAUUUCCAGAUCAACCACUUGAUUAUCACAUAUCCAUUAAACCAUACGAUAGCCCUUCAUUCAUCAACAAUCGAAAUCAUCUUCCCAUACGAACAAUCAGAUCUCGAUUUCAAACCAACAAACCAAAUCCCAGAAUCACACGAUGAUAAUCCAAUUGUACAACUCAGUGAAGCGUGUGUACAAGUUGAACCAAGAACAACAAUUUGGACUUUUUGUUUUGACUUUUAGUUCUUCAGUCAACAAACAACAAAUUGAUAACUUUUCAGAACAAUUUCAGAUCAAAAUGUGUUCCUUCAACAGUUCUUCACACAUUCAGGUGUUCUUGAUCAACAAUUUCAUCAAAAUCAAAAGAUCAAUUUCCGACUUCUUCACUGGAACUUGUAUAAAAUCGAGUUCAUCAUAUUCCAAAUCAUAAGAAAUCGACACUCAUUAUCAGAUAUACAUUCAACAUCGAUCGAGAAAAAUACAAUGAGAAGUCGAGAUUAAGAGCUGAAGAACAACUGAUUAUGAAUGAUCGAUAAAGUAUCAAUAUCAAAGGCAAUCGGAUCGAUUCAAGACUAGAUAAAUCGAGAGAAAAACAAUGAUUAAUAUCCAUCAACGAAACUGAUUUGAUACAAUCGACUUUCGAUUCAACAUACAAGAUCGUGAUUAUCGAUUUGCUAGAACAAGAAAAUAGAUGUCGGAUAUGCGAAUACAAUCAGAUACAUCGAAUCUAUCAGUUGGAUUACAAGUUUGGGCUUCAAUCUGGUUGAAUGGACAGUAAUGGAUCGAGAUUUUGGGCUCAAAGUUAUGGAUCAUAUAUCAAUCAUUGAUUUAGUAAAUUUUAUUUUGUUUUUGGUUUGAAUUUGAUCUAAACAAAAAUUGAUUGGAUCAACAAUGAGGUUUGAAACGAAUUAGAUCCAAUGAAUCAAAACGAUCAAAAAUCAAGAACACAAAGCACGAAUCCAAAUAUUACGAGAGAUCAUAGAGAGAGACUCACCAAAAUUGAUCAAAUUGUGACAAAAAUUGCCAAACCGAGAAUCGUUCUUCAAAAGUCAUGUUGAUCGUGAAAACCAAGCUCUGAUACCAAUUGUAGUGAUAAAGAACAUGGUUUGGCAUGCGGAAUUAAAGCUUGCACAAUUGAACAUGGUGAUUUGGGUGUUUAAGAGAUAUAUUGAAUGUAUAUGGUGUUACAAAAAAGAUCUAGAUCUAGACUACAUAAUUAACACACACUUACACACUCACUUCUACAUCUCUCAAGCACACCUCUACAAGUGGACAAACUCACUAUUUAUAGAGGUGUUUACAUGUCUCUCUCUCACUCUCUAACAAAUGGGUCUAAAGGCUAAAGCACCACAUGCAAGUGGGUUUUACAAAAGUCAAACAUUUACAAAGUCAUGAAUGAAUAACUUUGCACCCCAACAUAUAAAGCUGGAACCUUGCCUUAUAGUUGUUUAGAUCUUCUUUUAGGGUUCUUUUGCUUGGUUUUGGUAAAAAUAUUGUGGUCCUUGGGAGUUGGACGACCCAAAUAGGUUAACACUUCAGAUCUAAGGUCUCGAGGGAUUUUGAUUGCAUAAAGGUGCCAACUUUAUGGCCAUGGGAGUCCCAUGAAACCUUUAGACCAUUAUUGUGGCCUUUUGAAGCUUCUAAUGGCCAUGCAUGUAGAGAAAGUUGGGACUUUACGUGAUCUCUAUGUACCUAGAGUCCUGAUCCACGACCUCAUGACCUAUCUUGUAGUUUUGGGUGGUGUUUGGAUUAAAACUUUGGAAAUUUUGGGUUAGGGUUUGAGCUUAAUCCCUUUAGGAAAGCUAUUGAUGGGUAAAGUUGGAAACUUUACCCUUCUAAAGGCAUUUCUAGUUUAGAUCUGGUGUAUCGGGUGUAGAUCUGAAGAAUAAGGGCUUAAUGCAUUAAGAAGGGAUAACAAACUGAAGAACUCAAUGAUUUCAUAGAGGAACUCGACGAGUUCGGUCAAAGUGCCAUGAUUCUGUUAAAAGGGAAGAACUCGGUGAGUUGGAGGAAAACUUGAUGAGUUGGAUCGCGAUUUCACGAUUUUAUGAUUCAUGGGAACUCGACGAGUUGAAUCAAAUCGGAGUGUUGACUUUGACUUUGACCUAGACUUGACUUUCACCAUACUUGACCCUAAAGGGUUAUGAGCAUGAAAUGGUAUCUAAGGGGUUUUUUGGUUCAGGAAGUGAGUAGAGUUGAUUCCGGGCAGAGACGUUUCAGCUAUCAUCCGACAUUUAAGGUGAGUUUCCUCCGGGAUUGAACGGGUCGAAGGCACCAAUUUCGGCUCGUGUAUAUUAUGUGUAUAAUUAUCAAAUUUUGAUAUAUAUGUUAAUUUAGUAAAAUUAAAAUCACCAUUUUAGUGUGUAACUGUAUUGAAAACACCAUUUUAAUGUGUAAACAUUGCCAAUUUUAAUGUUUUGCCAUUUGAUUUGGUCUAAUAAGUUGAGUAUUAUAUGUGAAACGAUUUGUAGUAAAGAUACAUUUGCUAUAUUUAUAUUGUACAUAUAUAAUUAAUUCAAAUACCAUGUAUUAAUUCGAAUUCACAUCAACGAAGAUAAUAUUAAAGUUAUUCAAUUGUGAGAAACAUAAGGUAACUUAGUUCAGCCAGAUGAGACGUCUUUCUUAUUUCCCGAACUCGCAAAUUCGAAUCCUACUUCCUUCAAUCUUUUUAUUUAACUUCGUCUUUUUCAUUUAAAUUGUCAAAGUUCCACUUUGACCCAUAAAAUGUUAAAAUGUUUGAAUAAUUUGUUUUGACACAACUACCCUUAGUAAUCACAUAUUUGGAAUGAUUCCAAUGGCACUUUGGUCUUUUUGCAUUGUACAUUGUUUAGGCGCCAUGAUGGUUCUGAUGUCAUGUCGUCAUUUCAGUGCUUCAACCAUUCAGAACGUCUCAAAUCUUCCAGACGGUAAAACUGCAGACAAACAUAUAAACCCCCAAAUCGUCAAUAGGUAAUCGCUCUGAAAAUCGAUUUUCCCCGAUAAUAUUGACUCCAAUACUUAGUCCAUGACCAUAGCAUCAUAAAGUAAGGUUUUUUUUACUUACCCUGUUACACCGUUUUUGACAAUUACACCUAAUUAAUUGAAAUCAACUAGUGCAAUGUGUAUUUUGUAAGUAGAAUGUCGAAUACAAGAAGUUGUAGUUCGUUGGAUGAUCUUCCAAUAGAGAUUUUGAGUCGGAUUAUUCUAAUGUUAGGGUCAGAAUCUGCAAAAGACAUCACCUCUACAAGACUUUGAUAUUUCUCAAUAAACCUCAACUACUAAAUGUAUAUUUGAUGAAAUAUAGCUUAAUGUAUUACUUAUUUACUGUGUAUUUCAAUUUUGAAGUUCAAAAAAGAUGUAUGCAGUGAGGGGUGAUCCUCAAGUGUUCAGAACAGCAUCCUUGCACAUGAUUAAAGGGAUAGGUCCCAAACAUCUUAAUGUUGAUUUAUUUAUACGCACAUUGCAGUGCAUAAUAACAUUGACGCCAUGUUUUUAGACAAGGAGCGGUAUGUGUAAUUUCAGUAAUUUUAUGUAAUUUGAUUUUAUUUAUUAAUUUUUAAUGUCAUUGAUGUUAAUGAUAUUGUUAUUUUGUUAACAAGAGGAGUGAUUAUGUAAUGACAAUUUUGAUGUCGGAAUGGCUUUGUUGAGAGAGGCAGCAUAUGAGGAUCAUUUUGAGGCAAUUUGUUUGUUGGCAAUGAUCUACAUUCCAAGAGGGUCUCCUCAGUGUGAUCAAGGUAUGUAUGAAUAUAUAUAUAUAUAUAUAUAUAUAUAUAUANNNGUUGUAUAAUAUUUUCUGUUUUUUUAAAACGCCUACAUUGGAUUAAUUGAUAGUUUUUUUAGUGUGUAGGUUUACAACUACUUGAUGCGUAUUUUGGCUGGGCAGUUCCGGGUCAUGGGGAGUACAUAGGUGUCAUUGAUAGUGCUAGAGAUUUGCUGAACACUUUUGAUGUUGUUCAUAUACUUAAAACGAAUAAAAUCACAUUCCAAUGCGAAGAGGCACGUCAUUCUGUUUAAGGGGCAUUUACGGUAGGACAUGAAGAGGAUGAGGAUCCACAAAGGUAUUGCAUGGUUUGCCGUUGGUAUGUGGAGUACGGUAGGUUUUGUAGUUUUCUUAAUUAUAUACAUGGUUGAUAUAUAAUGGACAUUAAUAGUUUAUUAAGUAUUAAUGACUUUCAAUAUCAGUGUUUAUAUUAUAUUGUAUAUGUAGUUGGAAAUACUUUUAUUUUGGGUUAUGUUGUUAUUUUUUGGUAAAAGGUUAUUUGUGUCAUUUUAUUAUGCUAUGGUGUUUGAGUAGUGUUUACUAUUUUUUUAUUGCAUCAAUAUAUGUUCAAUUUAAAAACAAAAAUAAAUUUAAUUAUCAAGUAACUUUUGGUUAAUAGACUUAAAAACAAGUUGGUAUUCAAGUCGNGCUCUACAUCUACAUCUAUUAUGCAUGUUAUUUAAAUUUAUUACCCGUAUACUACAUGGGUUUUAACAUAGUAUUAAAUAAUAUCAACCAAAUAUUUUGACCUAGUAUCCAUCCGCCACAUCGAAAUCAAGGGUUGUCAAAGGUUCCCUCAUACACUCUUUCUUUGAAUCUGUGUUCUACAUUUCUCAAAUUCAAUUAAACCAUUCUAGAAAUAUUAUAUGCCAUUAUCAAAUUAUCAAAGUGAUUAAUCCAUUCAAAUGAGAAAACUUUGAAGAUUGGUUCAUUAUUCGGUUUUGUGAAACAAUUUAUUGUAAAGCUAUCUUUGAAAUAUUUAUAUUGUACAUAUAUAUUUAUUUCAAAUCUAAUUUGUUAAUUCAAAGCAACAUUAAUGAACAUAAUAUUGUGUUAUUUAAAUGUAUAUUUUACAAAUUUAACAUCAUUAACAAUACCAAUAGAAUGUAGAUGUAUGAAAGAAAAGAUAAUUGUGGUUGUGUAUUGUUCGUUUUUAUACAAGGAGUGACAAAAUUCAUAGACUUUGCUACCAGUCAACAAAGGUUCACGGACGAAAAUAUAAUCAAAUGUCGUAAAUUCCAUAACAAAUGUCGUCACAAAUUAUCUAGGCUUUUUGUUCCAUAGCAAAACAAGCAAGGGAAAUCAAAUUCCAUAGCAGAAUUCCCUAGCAAAUACCUACGAAUGAUACUUCCAUAGCAAAGCAACAAUGGAAUUGGUUUCAGUUGAAAAAGUUUGUUGCAUAGUAACCACGAUACUUAAUUCCAUAGCAGCAGUACAACUGAAAGUGAUUUCGUAAAAAAAUUCUGUUCAAAAUUGCUACAAAUGUUUUUUCCAUAGAAAUAUCGGUAGCAUAUUACCAAUGGAUAUGGAGUCAGUAGCAUUUUCCCUAGCAAGUCCCAUGCUUGCUACCGGAAAUAAAUUUUGUAGGCAAUGUGGUAGCAACCUUGCUAUGGAACGACAUUGCAUAGCACGAUCCAUUGCAGAUUAACAACGAAAAUACGUUCCAUAGCGCCCUUCCCUAGCAAAAUCGUGUUUUUCUUGUAGUGUUAGUUUUGUCAUCCAAAAAGGGGUUGCGAUACAGCUUCUUGCUUGUUUACCCGAUAUGUGUAUGUAAAACUUUGCUUUAAUAUCUAUAAUAGAUUAGCAAAAUCCAUUUAUACCAAUUUUCAUACAUGUGCAUUGUUAACGACUUCGUGCUUAUCGUGAUCUUGAUCAACCUAUGGUGGUGUUAUGCAAGAAGAAUCACUCAUUGUAGACACAAGUAAUGAUACUACGUUGGGAAUGUUAAGGUCAUUAAUAUGAAAAUCAGGAGUUUCUUCUAGUAAGAAAAGGAGCUUCAAAUCACAUAAUUUGAGCCAGUUAGGCUUUAAUUAGUUGUGAAUAGCAUUAGGUAAGGGUUCAAACCCAAGUAGGGGGAACAAACCCUUAAGGAAAAAGUACAAAAGGCAACUCGACUUCAAAUUCAACAUCAAGAUCCAAGAGAGUUGUAGCAUAAUAAGCUAACAGAAGCAUUAUUAGCUUCAAUUGUUGUUAUGUAGAUGAUAGAAUAAGUGCUUUCAUUGGAAAGUGAGAAAAUGACAUCAAAUAUUAUGAGGUAACUUAAGACCUCUACCAAUGCCUAUAGAUAAAUGGAAUGAUCUUAUCUUAGAUCAUAUCAUCAAGUAUCCUAGGAUUGUGUAGAAUCAUGAAAUGUUAUACGUCAGGUUUGUGUAGAAUCAUGAAAUCUUAUGUUAGAUCAUAUCAUCAAGUAUCCUAGGAUUGUAAAGAAUAAUGAUGUUAUACAUUCUUAUGUAUCACAUAUGUAGUGAAUUGGUCUAUAGAUGAUGUUUUCGUAUACUCGUUCUCAACAAUAAUUAGAGAUUAUUGAUCUGACGUCAUUCUAUAAUCUUAUUAAAAAUACUUAUGUUGGUGAUAACGUGAAAAUUGUUGUAGUCUAAUAAAGGCGAAACCUGAAAGGGGCAUGGAACAAUUAAUUUUGUGAACUUUGUCACUUUUGGAUAAGGAAAAAUACAGAGUGAUUUAGAGACAUCCUGCAAUAGUGUUCAGGAGCAUUAUGUCUUUACACUGUAACAAUGUUAUGUAUUGAUUAUUACAUCCUUAAAGUUUUGUACUUUGAAACAACGUCUUUAUUCAAAGAUAUUUUAAUAAAACAAGACAGUUUCUGCAACAUGUUUAAUUGUACUGGGAGUUCCCGCAAACAAAUAUAUUAUGAUUUUUAAAGCGUAAAGAAAAGUUUUUUUGGUUUGAAAAAUGGGGAAUGUCACAUAUAUUGGCCAUCGUGUCAUGGCACCCAUAUACCACGCCACGUGGAAAAGUAUAUUACCCUUUACUUACGACGAAGGACUUUGUCUGAAUCUUCUUCAUCACUCAUCGUGCCAUGGUGAGCUAUUUACCACGCCACGAUACCUAGAGAUUAGCAAAAUGCAUUGUUGAUUCCAUUCUAGCAUUCGGGACAACUUUUCCUCCAACUUCUAACCUUCAUAACUUCUUCGUUCUAUACUUGUUUUCUAUGAUCUUUCUUCUCAUGCAUUCUUUCUCUUGAACUUACCCAUCUUACCUCAUCUGAGUAAACUUAAACUUAUCGUGGCCAUUUUCAUGAAGGCACAACUUCAUUAUCUCACUAAAUUCUCAUUAAUGACCAUUUUUCACUUUUGUUUAAUAUUUGACUAAAAGUCAACUUUCUAUAAUUUUCAGGUUCUUACAUUACACCAUCAAGCCAAUUCCAAAACUCAAACCCUAAUUCUUAUAUUAACCCAAAACGACCAUUAAGACAAGCAUGACACUCAAAUAGAGAUGAAAUCCAUAUCUUAGCACCACACUGGGUCUAGAAUACUUAAAGAUUCAACCUUUAACCCUGGAGUUGUCCAAACCCCAACUCAAAUCCAUUGAAAGGGACCAAAACAUGCAUAUAAACCAAUAUCUAUAAAACUAUAAGCAUAAUGGUGUAAUCUUGAAGACUUACAGAGUUCCAAAAUGAAUCAAGAAGGUUGAUGAAGCUUGGAUUAUAGUUAAGAACACUAACAAUUCUUGAAUCUUCACACCAAAGGCUUCCUAUGACAUCAAAAUCACUAAAGAAGGAAGAGUGCGGAGAGGCUAGGGUUUCAUGGUUAGGGUUUUCUGAAGGUGGGGGUUGGAUGAAAUGAGCAAACCCUGAACAAACGUUCCUUAAAUAAGGUCCAAGACCCGAGACCUAGGGUUUUGUGUUGUAGACGCCAGCGUGCCGCGCCCAUCAAACAACGUGAUCUUCAUUGACUUGAUGUUGUCGCGCUGUGGACACCAAGCAACCGCACCGCGACUUAAGGUUUUUUCUCCAAAACCCAUUUCUCAAAAUCUCAAAGUCUUUAGUUGAUCGAACCAGGAAACGAAUGUUACAUUCUUUCCAUUUUUAUAUAAUUUGAUUUACCUUUUACUUUAACAUCUACCUCCACCACAUCAAUGUCAUCACAUUCUUCUUCAACUUCAACCUCCUAAGAUACAAAUGCAAGAAAAUUUUUAAAAACCUAGAAGCAUAACAAGAAAUCAAAAAAAAGUGUGUAACUAGAAAUUUAAUAAAAUGUUGAAAUACCAGAGGAGCUACAACUGUAGAAGGAGCGUCAAGCUUUGCUCUAUUCAUAUCAAAAUUUAAUCAGUAGCCCAGUAAACUUGCAACAUAUAUNNNNNNNNNNNNNNNNNNNNNNNNNNNNNNNNNNNNNNNNNNNNNNNNNNNNNNNNNNAGCAAUCAGAAAAAAAAAAAGUGUGAUUAGAAGGAGAAUAUGGAACACAACAAGAAUUAGAAAGAAAAAAAAAAGUGUGUAAUCAGUAUCACAAUCAUCUACAAUCAGAAAGAAUAGAAAAAAAAACACCUAACUGGAUGUGUGGUCAGAUUUAGAAGGAGAAUUAUUUAAAAAAAGAACAAAUAAUCAAAAUCAACAAUUUAUUUAUAUAGACGAAUAUAUAACUUUAGUUUUACAUAGACCAAGUAACUCAAAUGUGUAAUAGACUUGUUAACUAACUUGUUGAUGAAUUUCGAUUUACUUAACCCAUUUUAAACUUGAUGUUAUAAAAAUAUGUUAACUUGCAGAAAUUUGGAAAACAUUGUUAUAAAAAAUCAAUACAUAGUGUUAAAAAUUCAAUAAUCGAAGGUAAUCAUCAAAGAGCAUAACUUAUCAUGUAGUAGUAAAUUCCUAAAAGUAUAAUGAUAUGAAUUAAUUAAAACUAAUAAAUCAUAGUCAAACAAUGCACGAUUAUAACCUCAAACAGAUUCUAAAAAUCAACCAAAACACAGAAUAAAGCAUUAUAGUAAAUGCACUUAUCUGAAAUGAGAUCACUCAUGGAAGUCUAGUUAAAAUGCAAGCAAGUAGGGACUUAAUUACUCAAUAACGACCUUGAAUUAGUUCUUUUUUUCAUUUAAUAAAACACCGGGUGUUUCUAAGAAAUCGAUUUCUAAUUUCUUUGAUAUUUGGCUUCAUAUUGUUUCAAGAAUUGGUUUCUACAUGUCUCAAUAAUUGAUUAAGAGCAAAAAAAUGAUUAAUAUAAGUUCAACAAUGGUGACGCACCUAUUAGCAAUGCUUCAUGUCCUCACCUAUGUCGAUCAAUAAUAGUGGAUUGGCUGUUCCCGAUAUGUUGAUUCAUAUGUUUUCAAAUACAAGUGCGAUCGAGUGAGUAACAACUGAAAAAUGAUUGGAAAAUUAGGGUUGGUUGUUAAGAAAGGAGAGCAUAAAUCCUUUAAUACAAUCGAUCAAGCAUGGUCUGCAAUCAACACGACCAUCAACACGAGUAUAGGGAAGGAAAAAUGUCGAUUGAGUUUCCGGCGUAUGUUCGAUUUCUAGAGGAGCCGGUUGAAACUCUUUUUAUUUCAAUAGUUCUAUUUUUAAAAUUUAAAACUUAUUAUUUAAAUUAUUGCAAAAAACAAAUUAUCAUGCAAUAUCAUGGUAUUUUCGUUUUAAAAUUGUGUCAUAUUUGUAUUUAAUUUCGUGUUAAUAUCAUAUUGUUAUCGUUUCAAAUUACAAACACAAACACAAUACAACAUGAUAUCGUGUUUCUUUUAAACGAACAUGAACAUGAAUUCGAUUUUUAUUUCAUCACAAUUUUAUUUCAUGUAGUGUAUUUCUUUCGUGUUGUUUCGACUUUUGCUGCCUCUAUAUUUUCUAUUAGAAAUUAUGGUAGAAACAGAAUAGGUAGUCAGUGGAUUCUUCAAAGAUUGUGUAUGUUCACUUUCUGAAUCAAUAUUUCUCUCAUAUGUUUUGGUUAUGAGAAAUUCGAUCUUAGAUAUUCCUUAAAGGAACAAUCAAGAUUCUAAGCACAGAAAAAUUGAUAAAAGAGAGAGAAUAUCAUGUGUAUUAGUUUCAGUAUGUUUCAAAAGAACGAGAGAGAAAAUUUGAUAUCUCUCACAAUACAAACUCUUUUUGGAUAAAACAUUAAGGAGUUGAUAAACCAUAUGAAAUUACAUUAGAACCCCUGAAAACUCAUUAAUUUCUAUAAUAGUCCUUCUAACAUCAGGAUUAAUCUAAGCUAAUACAAAUGUGCACUCUCAUCACCACAAGGAAAAAGGCCAUUACCGGCGACAAAAGUCGCCAGUAAAACUCCCAAAAGUCGCCGGUAAUGAUAAUAGCGGCGACGCGUCGCCGGUAAUAAGUCGCCGCUACUGCCUCGUCGCUAUUGAUCAGCUUGUCGCCGGUAAUGAUAAUAGUCGCCGCUAUUAGUAUGUCGCCGCUAAUGAGUAUUGUCGCCGCUAAUAAUGUUGUCGCCGGGAAUGACGUUUGUCGCCGGUAAAAGUGUCGCCGGCAAAAGUGUCGCCGGUAAUGAGCUCUGUCGCCGGUAAAAGCGUCGUCGGUAAUUGUUUUUCAAUUUUUUUUUAAAAAAAAAUGAUUUUCGUUGCCGGUGAUAAUAUCGCAGGUAAAAGUGUCGCCGGUAAUAACAAUAUUCGAUUAAAUAUCAAAACCAAUAGUAUCGACGCUAAUUACAAAACAAACAUCCUAUUAAAUAUCAAACAUAAUAGUGUCAAACAAACAUCCAAAAUACAAUUAAAUAUCAAAAGUCAUACUAUCCGAGUAGCAAAACAACAAAAUUUUUACAAUCUACCAAGUAGCAAAACGAGACAACAUAUGCAAAUAAAACCCAUUCUUACAUACCCUCAUCGUCGUUCCCAUCGUUCCCUUGAUUAUUUUGGGAUUGAAAAAACGAAUAAAGCUCAUCCCUACAUGCCGGGUCGGCGAGCAUUGCACGAAGAUUUUCCAACUACAUAAUUAAUAACAAUAUAUAUAAACUUAUAAGUUAGAUUGUCAAACAUAAACAAAAACUAUCAAAAUACAUUGUUAUUUUUAAAGUAAGAUAGAAAACCAAAUUACCAAACUUUUUAGCAAAUAAUCACCAAACUACCAAAUCAACAUGCAUUUUACGAUGCUAAAGUAGAUUGCUAUUUUACCUGUGAUGGUUGUGAUGGUGGUUGUGAUGGUUGCGAAGGCUGUGGAAUCGUCGGGAGACCAGAAGGUUUGCGGCCAAUGCCUCUAAUGUGGCCACGUCGCUCUCCUAAUACUUUCUCGAACGUAGCUCUUUCUUGAGUUGGCGUAAACUCACUUUCACCUUGAGUUUGUUCUAGCAGCUCUUCAACUAACCGAUUCUGUAACUCCCAAAAGUGAGUAACAAUUAAGUAUAAAUAAACAUUUAAAUAUAUGAUAAAAUUAUAAUUAAAUACUUACAUAUUGUUGUUCCGAUUCAGCAGUAACAAAUACACCAUUCUUAUCGGUAUGAGCUUUGCGAAAUGUUUCCACUCUCUUAAGGUUCUGUUUAAGUUUAAAAAUUAGAUUAUAUUUUAAAUAAAUAAUUACAUGUAUCGUACGGUACCUUCUUAUAGCAAGUACUGCUAUACGAGCUCGAACCCCCACGAUUCACAAUUGUUUGCUUUUCACGGAUUUUUUUGUUCCUUUCUGAAGCAAUUUUGUGUUCGUCAGUUUGAAAAUACUCAACUGUCUUCUCCCAGUUAUCAACAAGCAUACCAUCCGGAGGAUUUGCCAAUGCUCUCGGGAUAUCUUCAUACCCUCCGACCAUCUUGAAAUAUUCUUUAGCGUCGGCUUUACGCUCUCGAAAACCUCUUAACAAGGCUGCUUGAAAACUCUCUGUCAAUAAAGUAGCUUGUGCAUCCUGGUACAUUUGAUUGAGAUCAAACUUUGUCUACAAUAAAAAAAAAAGUUAACCAAGAAACAAUUAUAGUUAAACCUAUAAAAUAUAUUUAAAUAAAUAAUUACCGCUAAAUGUUGUAAUACAGUGUCCUUUAUAUCAGGGGAAACUCUUUUCCAACUCCAUUUGUCGAAAGGGACCAUCUGCCACAUUGUUUUCCCAACUUCUCGGGAAAACAUGUCUCCCGCCUCUCCUACGGGAUUAAAUGUGAUAUCCCUAUCAAAUUGCAUGGGUAUUGGUUUCCCCUGGUUCUGCAAGAUUGCUUUUUCAAGCUUUAUAUUUUUUGCUUUUCCUCGAGCUUUCCUUCGGGCACGUCCCUCAACUACAAAUGUAAUUAAAAAUUAUUAGAAACGACAUUUAAUUUAUGAUAAUUGAACAAAAAUAGUAAAUAAAAAUUCAUGAUAAGACUUACCGUCCAGCUCGUGCUGGCCAGGACCUCUACCACCUGGGAAAGGUGGGUCCUCAGCUCCGUCUCCCCCAUGUCCACGACCCAUGACAGCAGCCAUGGUAAACAUAAACAACAGCCACACUCUCAUCAUUUCCUGAAAAAUUAUAAGAUAUACAAAUACAAUUUUUAUUAUAGAUACACAUUACAUAGAAAUAAACAUUUAGAUAGGAAUAAACAUUUAGAUAGGAAUAAACAUUUCCAUUUAAACUAGAAAUCCAAAUACAGUUCAUAUUACAAACACAUAUUACAAAUACAUAUUACAUAAGAACUAUUCUAAUCAGAAUCUUCCUCAUAUCCUUCAGUGUCUUCUUCGGUAUCAUAGUCAGAAUCGGUGUCAUCGUAAUCAGUAUCGCAAUCAGAAACAUCAUUGACUCUACCAGUUGGCGGAGGAACUUCAGAUGCACUUUCUACAUCAACAAUGACUCUAGGAAUGUUUUGAAAGUACAUGCUGAAAUCGAUAAAAAGCGGAGCAUCGGAUGAAGAGAUAUUUUGAAGUACAUCGACAUCGUCUACAUUUUCGUGUGAGACAUUGUCAACAUUUUGAACAAGGUCAUCGUUCGAUGGUAGAUCCCAAAUACUUCGAUGAUUAACAUGCUCGACAACACACCGAUGGUUAUUGUUUGGCUCUCUGAUGUAGAACACUUGUUUGGCUUGUGACGCAUAUAUGAGUUGAUCAUCUUUGUAUGCUUCGCGUCGUGUGUCGAUACUGGUGAAACUAUCACUAGAAAUAACUCCUGUUCGAGUAUCAAACCACUUGCAACGAAAUAGUACAGUUGAAUAAUCAUGUGUAUACCUCAACUCUAUAAUCUCUUCUAACUGGCCAUAAUACUUCUCGCCUUUCUCACCCACCGCUAAAACCCCAGAGUUUUGUGUUGUACGUUGUGUGUCACGACUAAGUACCAUAAACCUAACACCAUUGACUAUGCAUGCGGUGUAAGAAUAGGCAUUCAUUUGCGGGCCCAUUGCAAGAACCGACAACUCUUCGUGGAAUUCUGGAGAUUUUUCUAUUUUCAUUUGAUGAACCUAACAAUUAUAAAUUAAUAUGUAUUAUGUAUUCGUUAGAUCAAUGAAACAAAUUUGUUUAUUAAUUUAUAUUACCUUUUCACGAAACCAAUUACGAAAUUCUCUCUUUUCAUCACUUUGGGGAUGCUCAGAUUUGAAUUUCCUAUGUUGAUGACCAAAAGAUAUAGAUUUAAAAAGAUAAAAUAAAAAAUUAAGAAUGAAAGUUAGAGAUAAGAUUAAUUACUUGAUAUACUGUCUGACUUCUUCACAGCUAUUCAAUACAAACCAUUCCAUGUUAUGCAUUUCCGUUAAAUUAAGAGUUUUGAUUUGAGUUGUGCUGGUCGGUCGACAUUUAGACUCAAACAUCCAAAACUUUGUUUUUUCAAUGACAAUAUCUACAUUUCUUUCCGGACGAUUCUUUACAUCUCGAAGGUACAUUGAACAAAAUGAUAAAGCUUCUUCAGCAACAUAACCCUCAGCUAUAGAACCUUCUGGCUUCGCCUUGUUUCUGACAUAGUUUUUUAGUUUUUUCAUAUAUCUCUCGAAUGGAAACAUCCAUCUCAUACAAACCGGGCCUCCAGCAAUUGCUUCAUCAGGUAAAUGCAAAAGUAAAUGAACCAUAAUGUCAAAAAACGCCGGAGGAUAAAUCAAUUCUAACUUGCACAAGAUUGCAAUAAUGUCUACUUUUGCUUUCCUCAUAUCCUCCACCUUCAAUGUUCUGGAACAAAGUUGCUUGAAAAACGUACAAAGGUCUACAAUAGGUGUAUAAGUAUCUUUGUCUAACAACCCUCUUACUCCAAUCGGUAUCAAACGUUGAAUAAGAAUGUGGUGGUCAUGCGAUUUCAACCCAAUAAUGUUAGUAUUGGUAUCGUUCACUUUCUUACUAAUGUUAGAACCAAACCCAUCCGGCAGCUUAACCUCUUUUAUAAAUUGACAAAAGAGUUGUCGACUAGAUUUCGUGAAAGAGUAUCUUGCCUGGGGUCUAUGAAACUUGUCACCAUUUUUUUGCAACCAUUCAUUUCUCCGAAUGUUUAGAAUUCUCAAGUCCUCUCGUGCAUUUGAUGUGUCUUUGCUUUUAUCGUUCAUUAGGAGAGUACCUAACAAACUCUCGUCCACAUUUUUCUGGACAUGCAUGACAUCUAUGUUGUGUUUCAACUGUAGAGAAGACCAAUACUCGAGUUCGAAGAAAAUGCUUCGUUUCGACCAGUUCAACUCAUAAUCUUGCCGCUUUGGCUCCCCGCCUCCAUGCUCAGGAUGUUUACCCGGUUUACGAGUUAGUAGACGACCUAGUUGCUCUUGUAUGUCAUCAUUACUAAAGUGUCUCGGAGCGGGUCUUGUCUCUUCCAUCCCAUUAAAGUCCAACCUCUUUCUUAACGGAUCAUUAGCAUCUAGGAAACGACGAUGACCGAUAUAUACGACUUUGUUUGUUGCACGGUACGAAGGAGUGUCUUCAUUGCAAGUAGCACAUGCUCUAUACCCUUGCCCACUCCAACCCGAUAAACUACUACGAGCUGGCCAAUCGUUUAUUGUCCACAACAACAUNCACAUAAUUUCACAUAUAAAUACAACUUGAAGCUAUACAACUAAUUGCAAUUAAAUAACCACAAACAAAAAAUUGAAUAACUUGCUUCUAAUCCAAAACAAUACCACCAAAAACAAAAAUAUGAACAAUUUAUUAUCAUUCAAUCACUAUAUAAAGCUACAAAUCAAAAUUCAUACAAAAUAAAAAAGAAAUCAUAAAAAAAAAACUUACCUUUCUUCAACAAAUGGAGGCACCUACAAAUUGAUCCCAAAGCUUUAACCACUUGCUUGGAACAAUGCUUCUAAUCCAAAACAACACCACCAAAAAUAAAGAACGUGAGCAAUUUAUUAUCAUUCAUACAACACAAAAAUGAAAUCAUCAAAAUAAACUUACCUUUCUUCAAGAAAUUGAUCCCAAAGCUUUAACCACACCUAGGGACACUUGCUUGGAACAAUGAGGGGAGAAAUUUGCUUGAAAGAAGCUGAUUGAAGAAGAAAAUCGGAAAUAUGGUGAAGGAACUCGAAGCAAACAGAAAGGGAAAUGAAGAGGAACUGUAAUCUGCGUGCGUUUUUUUUUUUAUCUGCGAUCAUCAAUAGCGGCGACACUAUUAGCGGCGACGCGAGGAUCAAUACCGGCGACAAUUGUUAAUAGCGGCGACAAACUGGAGGGAAGGGUACCGCGUCAUUUUUAUCAGACAAU